UCGGAUUUGGAACUCUUUGCAAUGAAGUGCAACCAUCUAACAUUAGGCCUUGUACACUUGAUGGAAGCUGAGGCAAUGUUUCAAGCUUACUACAACCCAUCAAUUGGAGACAAUAAAGCUUGGUAAGUUGACUAAGAUUCGCAGGUAGGCUGACGAAAUUGUUAUGACUAAGAAUCAGUUCUUCUAAUGAGGAUAAGCAACAUAUAUCACUAGGAAGAUCCCCUUCACAAAGAUUCAUGCCACUUAUAUUCAACUCUCUUAAAGAACUCAAGCUUGAUAAACAAGGUAACGUCAGAGCCAUGAAAUUCGAACCUUUUUUUAAAAGCAUGGGAUUCAAACUUGAUAGUAGUACUUCGCAUCCCUUCUUAUAUAUCCUUUGUAGGAAGGAUGGUGGUGAAUUUUCAAGUACAGAGCAGCCCGAGAGAUUAAGAACUUUUAAGCUGCUGAGAUUUCCAACUGAAGAAGGAAGUUCUUCCAUACUUGUGCCAUCUAAAUGGAGCUCCUGCAAAUGUUCCAUUUUUUCGACAAUCUCUGAAAUCCCUUUAAGAUUCUUGCAGCCUGAAAGAAUCAAUGUUUCAAGAGACUCCAUUUCAUUAUUGAUUGAGAAACUCCUAAGACUUACACAGUUUCUUAAAUUCAAAAGUUUAAGCUUGGCUAAAAAUGCGAUGGAUGGAUGGACAUGUACUAAGUUGGUGCAGCCUCCCAAAUUCAGACUUUCCAAAUUUUCGAUCCUUGUGAAGUCUGGUGUUCUGAUCAGCUUUCGUGAGCCUUGGAGGUCUAUGAAUUUCAAUUUAUUUAAAAGCUGUCAAAGAAAGAAUAAAAAGAAAAAAAAAGUUAUUUUGUAACGAUAUAAUUGAAAUUAUUGGUAAUUUAUGAGAAGAUAAGUUAAAAAGUCAACAUUAAAUAAAGUAAUUCUUACUCUGUCUCGGUUCCAUAGUUGUUCAAUGCAGCUAUUAGGUAGGCGAAGUGCAACAAGGUUGUCUGGUUGGAAGUCCCAAGGCAAUGAUUUUAAAGGCCAUCCAAACCACUCAAAAUGUCGUAACUCACUAGAAAGAUAUGUGAGAUCACAAAAUUUUAGGAGAUCAUGAACCAUGAGCAAUCUUAGUUUUUUCAUCUUCGACAAGGCGUCAGCAUUUAAGAUGAAAGUCUUAUUUUGUUCCCUAAUAAACGAAAAACAAGGGCAAAAACACAAAUGAGCUUCAUAACAUGCUAGAGCAAUCCAACAAACUACAAAGCUAGAGUAUAUGCUCAUGAACUUGAGUUUCAUCUUGCAACAAAAAAAUAUUAAAGUCUUCAAAUUUAUUGAUUUCUAAUGCAAUCAAUAUAUGUGUCUCGCAUUCGUAUUUCUUGUCCACAUUCAAUCAAAAUUCUUUCUAUAUCAACUUGAUUGUUAUGGUUUUUCCUUUUCGUAUUUUGGUACCAUUAAUUAUUGUACUAACAAUAUAUCAUCAAAAUCAAUAACCAAUAGGUUAAUAUCCACUUUUAGGUAAAGUCAUUCCAAAUUUUUAUUUUAGAAAUUGGUUUAAUGGAUACAUGAAUAUUUCUUUAGUUACCUAUGUAUCUUUACAAUCUCCACAAAUAUUGUAACCCAGUACUUUUACAUAAAAUGAAAAUUAACAUAAUAUCUUUAAAUAAAUAAAACAUGUUUGGCAUAUCCAUUCCAUACUACUUCAAUUGACUGCCAUUUAUGAAGCCCUCGGUAGGCUUAGUAGGCUACCAUUUGACAGCUAAGAAUAAUUUAGAGGAAAAAAUCCUUAUUAAAUAAAAAUAAAUUAAAAGUGUGGCAUAUACAAUAUAUAAACUUAAUUAAAUAAAGUAAAAAUAUGAUCAAAAAUAUAUUUAAAAUUAAUUUUUAUAUAGUUAAACAAAAGUAUAUAUGGAUAUUUAAAUAAAAGGAAUAUCAAUCAAUUAUUAAUUUCAUGAAACUAAUUGAUAAAAUGUUUAAUUAAUAUUAAUAGUUAUAAUGUAAAUGUUAAAAUUGAUUUCAUUUCUUUUAUUUUCUUGUAAAGAAAACUAAUUAUUUUAUUUUUACAAGGUAAAUGUAAUAUGCUUAUAUGUUUAUUUAAAUAAUUAUAAAAACAUUUUAUUUCAUACCGUUACUUUUAUAUAUAAUUUCAGAAAAGAAAUAAAUGAAAGUUGAAAAUGUGUAACAUAAAACUAUUAUACUUAAUAAAAUAAAUUAAAAUAGGAUUAAAUAAUACAUUUGAAAUGUUUAUUUAAUUUUAUACGCAGUAUACUAUAUUUUAUAAGAAGUAAUGUAAUGCAUGAGAAUUAUAUUCAUUAAGAAUAAAAUAGUUAAUUUAAUAAAUUAUAAAACAAUAAAUAUGUUGUUUACUAUUUAUAUUUUUGAAAUUUAAGUUUUUAUAAUUAAUAAAGAUAAAGAUAAAAGGAGAUAUAUAUUUGUACCCCAUAGUGCUGUUGAUGACCAUGCCUUCAAUCGCUUCUGUACCCUAAACAUCAAGAGCAUCAUAAGGCUUUACACAAAGAAGAUGGAUAAUUUACCAAGAUAUGUAGAGAGUAAAAUAAGUAUACUCUUUAUGAAAUACUAACCGAGUUUUGUGUUAGCACUUGAUAAACAUCACUUUCCUCAGACAAUCUACAUCGUUUGCCAGGUUCAUCAGGAGACUUUUGUUGAACAAUAUAUCUUCCCAUCUCUUGUAGCAAAUCAUGCAUCCAAAUUUUGUUGUUUUUAACUGUUAUAAGAGAUCUCUCGAUCAGAACAUGUAGUCCAAUACCUGGACUAUACCCACAGCCAUCCAAUAUUUUUGUUACAAAAUCUCUGUGCCACCCUUUGAAGAAAUGUGCGAUAUCUAAAAAUAUUUUCUUCUGUGUUUCCGAUAAUCCAUCAAAACUUAUUUUAAGACAAUUGUUAAUUUCUUUGUCAGGCUCACUUUUCAGGCUUUCUAUGGCAUGUCUCCAUUGAUCUGCAUCUCUACCACAUAGAAAAGAGCCCAAAACAUCAAGAGCUAAUGGAAGGCCACCAGCAUAUUUCACAACACUUUGGGAAAGCGACAUGAAAUCAUCUUUUGGUGUAUCACUUUUAAAAGCUUUCAAACUUAAAAGCCGUAGGGCUUCAAAGUCAUGCAAUGUUGUAGGCUUAUACACAUCAUCCACUCUGUAGCUUCGCAACAACAGACGCUCAUCUCUAGAUGUUAUGAUGAUUCUGCUCCCUAAACCAAACCAAUCGCGCUUUUCAGCCAAGCAUCUGAAAUGCUGCAUGUUAUCCGCAUCAUCAAUAACAACAAGAACCUUUUUAUGACGUAGCCUACGACUUAUAGUUUCAAUUCCGUCAUAAACACUGGAAAACUGAAAAUUUUCUCCAGGAAAUAUGUUAGAAAGAAGCUGUUCUUGUAAAGAAACAAGUCCGAAUUUCAUUGCAACUUCUCGAACACCAGCAAGAAAGCAUUUACCUUCAAAAUAACCAGACAUCUGGGUAUAAACAACACUUGCAAGAGCUGAUUUACCUAUGCCACCCAUUCCACAAAUUCCUACAAUGCGGAUAUCACGAUCUUCCCCAAAAUCUAUUUUGUCACACAACUUAUCCAAACGUGAAUCAAUUCCAAUCAAGUCAUUAGGAACACUUGAACGUGUUUGACAUAACUUUGUUGAUAUCUUUUUAAUGAUGAGUCCAAUGAAUUCUGAUUCAUACCUAUAAACUCAAAAGGUCAAAUAAACAUCUUGAAUGAGAAAGCAUAAAUUACUAUUUGAUUAUAUUCUACUAGAAUUUUGCACAGCGCACAUUGCAAACAAUAGUCUUUCUUAUAUUUUUUUCAAAAUAAUAAUCUUUCUUUAACUCAUUUCUUGUUUAAAGGUUAGAAAUCUGAACUCAUAACAAUGAUAUCAGAACUUAUACAAGUCUUCACAAGUUAGAGAUCCUUAACAGAUAGAUGCUAAGAAAUUGAGGUAGAACCGAACCAAAAUGAAUCCCUCUUUUAUGUGCUAUUAUUUUUAUGUUACACAUUUUCUGUCAAACCCUGCUUUGUAAAAUAAUUAUAAUGUCAUUCACAUGCUCGAUAGAAUGUUUGUAUAUUUAGGAAGCUCGAAAAAUCGUUAAAAGAUGAUAUUGCCCCUAAUGGUACUAUUGAGUCGAUUAAGCCUCGAACUAGUUCAAAUAGGAAUUUUAAAGUGAAAUUAAGAGUUUCACAGUUCAGGGAUGACUCAAAAUGGUAAUUUGGAGUUCGAGGAUCAAUUCGAAGUCAAAUAGAAAUUUUCACUCUUUAGGGACAAAAUCGUAAUUUUUCCAUCCACGGACAAAUUUUGAGAUUUUGAGAGAAUUUAGAUCACAUUUGACAAAUUGGAGAAUGGUAUGAGUAUAAGGGAUGAAAAAUAUGUCUAUGGGCAAUUUUUCAGUUUUUGGGGUAAAAACGUAAUUUUUCACUUUACGGGGGUAAAAGUGUAAUUUUUAAAAUUUUACUCCACCAAAACUUUGGAAAAGUCUAGAAAUUUCAUUGAAGACAUGAAUAAGUGAAGAGGAUUGAGUGGUAGAAAAAGAAAGUCAAAAAGAUGGCUAGAAAAAAUAAAAUAAUAAAAUAUUCAAAAAAUAAAUAAAAUAAUAAUAUUUUAUUAAGCCUAUUAAAAGGCUUGAAAAUUUCAGAAUUCUUCAUUGGGAGGGUCAGCCAAAACCAGAAGGAGAGAGAGAGAAAUAAGAACAAACCCUAGAGUGAGAAAAUUCAAAGAAAAAGUGUGAUUUUUCAAGCUUAGCUUAAGAUUUAUCAUUUCCAUGCAUUUUUCCUUAUUUUCCAUGGUUAAAUUAUGUGUUUUGAUGAUGGAUUCAAAUCUGAUCAUAUGGGUUUAGAGAGAGAAAGUUGUUAGAUUAAAUUGAUUUUGAAUUAUGUUAGUGUUUAGUGUUAGUUUAGCAUGUUUAUGAGUAAAACAACAAGAAAAAUAUUCAUUUUCUCCAUGAAUUUCUCUAGGCCGAAUCUAGCCAAUGGUAUGUGAGGAUGAGGUUGACUUUAUUUUAAGAGAAUUAGAUGAUGAAUUAUGAGGUUGGAAUUAAUGGGAAUUUUGGUGCAAAAAAUUGAAAUUUCCACCCACUAGGGGUAAAAGCGUAAUUUGUGGUCCGAACUGAUAAAUUGGACCACAUUCACAGUCAUUGAGGUAUUGUGGAUAUAAUUGGACAAUUGAAAUUGAAAUAGAUGGAAUUGGAGUUGAAUUGGAGAUUUUAGAAAUUUACACCGUGUAUAGGCGAGUUAGGUCGGAUACUGUGAUUAAGCGAUUGUCCAAAUAUUUCACACCCUAUCUAGUGCAUACGCAUGGAUAAGAGCCUGAAAUAAUAUAUAUUGAUUUGACACAAAUUAUUGAAUUUUUUGUGUCAUGUAUUGUGGAUAGGUGGUGAGCUAUCUGAUACGGGUAAAAGACUACACCCGAGGAUCGAGAAUAAGAGUAUAUCUACUCCUAGUACAGUGAGUAAACUUACUAUCGUCUUAAUUAUCUAGAGUAGAUUUAUUUAAUUGUGUGAUUUUAUGAAAAAAUGGUUUAAUUGGAAAAUUAUUGUGUUUUAUGGGAAAAUGAGAUUUUAUAAAAUAAUUUUAUAAAAUUUUUGAAAAUUUAAUAAUGAUUUCAAAAAUAGAGUAAUUGGAGACCUAUACUAUGAUUGUGUUGUUUAUCCAUGAUUUUACAUUAAAUGGCUUAUGAUAAAUGUGGGUAUGACUGGUUAUUUUUAUGAUUUAAAGAAUAUGUGAACUGCUUUGAUUUGCCUUGAAUGUGUUAAGUGAGCCAUGUCAUACUAUUGUGAUUUUAUUGGUUGGUGGAUUAUAAAGUGGGCACUGCAGUGACGGGGGUUCCGUGGGCCAGCCUAAUUAGAGGGGCACGGUUCCCAAUUAUUGAGCUUACCUCGAUUGGAGAGGCGCGUAGGAUAACUCCCGAGGUAGGAUUUGAGUACACUUCACGCUGGCCACCACGUGAAAUUGGGACUCAGCCAACGCCAAGGAACGGCUGUGUUGUCAGAGGUGAAAUGUGUUUGUGUGUGUGACAAUAAACAGCCUUGGCGGUCUCGGUAAGAUGCUUUCGCGAGGUAUCCCCGAGAAUGGAUUUUUGGCAAGGGCCAAGUUUUUGAAAAGUGCAUAAGCCAUGUUGAGUAAUUAGAUGAAAUCCAAUUAUUUAUAUGGGUUGAGAUGAAUUAUUUUAAUUGUCUCCUAUUACUCGGCUUUAGAUUAUUUUGAUGAUGUCUGUCUACUCACUGGGAUUUUAUAAUCUCACCCCUUCUUCCUAUACAUUUUUCAGGCUCAGAAUAGGCAGUAGACUGUCAAUUGCAUCGAGAAGUAAAUUUCGGAGUUGCAUCCUAGAAAGCAAGGUUAUAGACUUAAACCUUCUCAGUUAUUUGGGGGCCCACGUGUCAUUGUAAUUUAAAUUGCAUACUCUAGUUUUCUAUAUUAUAGUAUGUAUAAAUUUAUUUUAUUUUUAUGUGCAGAAAAUUAAUUUUUUUUGUUGUUUCAAAAAUAUACAUAUAUAUAUAUAUAUUGUUUUACAUGAAAAUAGAUUAUUUUAAUUAAUAUUUUUAGUUUAUUUUAUUAUUCAAAAAAAAAAAAAGAAAAGGAAAGAGAGAGAGGAAUGGAAAAACUGGUACAAAAGCCUUGCGAGGUCUCGAAAGGCGUUCGGGGGAAGAAUGUCUAUCGAGGCUUCGCGGCGGUUGUCACGGGCUCGAUGGGAGUUCCGGGUCGUGACAAUUCGAUUGGUAUCAGAGCUUUUGGUUAACAAAGCAUGGUUUUAAAGUUUUUGAUUUUUAUAGUUAUUUUAAGAAUUCACACUAGCACUGUGUGGCCCCGGGUUGAGUUAAACUAGGUUAAGUUAAGUUGGGUUAGGUAGAGUUGCAUGUAUGUAGAGUUUGAGAUUACUUAAACUUGCCUCGUUUCCUUUUUAGAUUACCAUGCCUCCUCGACGUGAGCGCCCACUCCCUACUAGAUCAGCUAGGAGGGGCAGAGGUCGUCUUAGGCAGGGUCAGCCAGACCUUAGAGGAGAGGAAUCGACUGUGUCUCCUUUUCGAGCAACACUUGCUGCUGAACCGGUAGAGAUUCCUCCGCCACCUACUGGCAUUCCUGCCGUGUCUUCUGAGGUAAUCCAGGCAAUGGCAGCCUUCUUUACCGCAAUGGCUGGUCAAGCUCAGACUAGUCAGGUCCCACCUGUAGUGCCACCAGUUACUCCUUCAGUUCCAUUGGCACAUGAUGUCUCUAUUUCUAAAAAGCUGAAGGAGGCUAGACAACUGGGUUGCGUGUCCUUUGUGGGUGAGUUGGACGCCACCGCAGCUAAGGAUUGGAUUAAUCAGGUUUCAGAGACACUCUCUGAUAUGAGAUUGGAGGAUGAGAUGAAGCUGAUAGUGGCUACGAGGUUAUUGGAGAAGAGAGCCCGUACAUGGUGGAAUUCGGUGAAGUCCCGUUCCACUAUUCUCCUAACUUGGUCAGACUUUCUGAGGGAAUUUGAUAGUCAAUAUUAUACCCAUUUCCAUCAAAAAGAGAAGAAGAGAGAAUUUUUGAGUCUGAAGCAGGGGAAUUUAACUGUAGAAGAGUAUGAGACUCAAUUUAACGAGCUGUUGUCUUAUGUGCCUGAUUUAGUGAGGACUGAACAGGAUCAGGCCGAUUAUUUCGAGGAAGGGCUCCGCAAUGAGAUAAGAGAGCGAAUGACUGUGACAGGUAGGGAGCCCCAUAAAGAGGUAGUACAAAUGGCCUUAAGGGCUGAGAAGCUCGCAAAUGAAAAUAGGAGAAUGCGAGCUGAGUUGGCAAAAAGGAAAAAUCCGAAUAUGUCCUCUAGUCAGCCACUAAAGAGGAGCAAAGGCUCAUUUGUUUCAGGGAGUGCUCCUUCUGUUUCGGUAACAUCCUCUCGACCAUCAUUUUCACAAAUGCAGCAGAGGCCUCCGAGAUUCAGCGGAUCUGCAGUGACUACUUCUGAAAAAAGUUUCGGAGGUUUUGAUAGAUGUAGAGAAUGUGGAAGAUUUCAUGGCGGGGUGUGUUGGGGGCCUUUGCGAUGUUUUCAUUGUGGCCAGACGGGUCACUUUAGAACUAAUUGUCCACAGUUAGGACAGGCCACUGUAGCUGCUCUAUCUUCAUCAACUCGUACGGACUUGCAGAUGAGAGAUUCCUCUGGAGCACAACCGAGACAGGGAGUAGCUAUCCGGCCUGAUGUGGAGAGUAACACCCCAGUAUACCCACCUUCCAAACCACUGACUCGUGCGUCAACAAAAGUUUUUACGGUAAUGGAAGAUGAAGCACGAGUCCAACCUAGAGAAAGUGAAUGAAAAGUUAGGUGGAAAUGUAAGAUAAUGAUAAGAGAUGUAAAUACUAAGUUCUGAGAGUGUAAAUAAAGCUUUUAAGAAUAAUAUAAUAAAUGAGUUUAUGUAAAAUAUCGCUAUGGAAUUUUCUUAAUGUAUUGUGGAAAUUGGAGUUCAGAAAUGCAUAAGACAUGAAAGAUGAAUCUUUGAGGCAUUGAUGAGAAUGAAAGUGCAACCCCACAUGUGUAGGGAUUAGUAAUAUGGGUAACUAAAGUGAAGAAUGAUCCUGAGUGGUUCAAGAUUUAAAUUUCAUGUAUGAUGAGUGAUGUAGGUAGAGCAACGAAAAGAACAUCUCAAUAGUUAAAGGAUUGUGGAAGAAUGCUCAAACGAAGGAGAUGACAUGAGAUGUUGAAUAUUGGAUAAAAGCUAAUACCCCUAUCUUUUCUUGGAGUUUGAUAAGUGAAAUUUUGGGGACAAAAUUUUUUUUUAAAGGGGGGUAGUGUUGUCAAACCCUGCUUUGUAAAAUAAUUAUUACGUCAUUUACAUGCUCGAUAGAAUGUUUGUAUAUUUAGGAAGUUCGAGAAAUUGUUAAAAGACGAUAUUGCCCCUAAUGGUACCAUUGAGUCGAUUAAGCCUCGAACUAGUUCAAAUAGGAAUUUUAAGGUGAAAUUAAGAGUUUCACAGUUCAGGGAUGACUCAAAAUGGUAAUUCGGAGUUCGAGGAUCAAUUCGGAGUCAAACCAAAAUUUUCACUAUCUAGGGGCAAAAUCGUAAUUUUUCCACUCACGGAUAAAUUUUGAGAUUUUGAGAGAACUUAGAUCACAUUUGACAAAUUGGAGAAUGGUAUGAGUAUAAGGGAUGAAAAAUAUGUCUAUGGGCAAUUUUUCAGUUUUUGGGGCAAAAAUGUAAUUUUUCACUUUACGGGGGUAAAAGUGUAAUUUUUAAAAAUUUACCCCACCAAAACUUUGGAAAAGUCUAGAAAUUUCAUGGAAGACAUGGAUAAGUGAAGAGGAUUGAGUGGUAGAAAAAUAAAGUCAAAAAGAUGACUAGAAAAAAAUAAAAUAAUAAAAUAUUCAAAAGGUAAAUAAAAUAAUAAUAUUUUAUUAAGCCUAUUAAAAGGCUUGAAAAUUCCAGAAUUAUUCAUUGGGAGGGUCAGCCAAAACCAGCAGGAGAGAGAGAGAAAUAAGAACAAACCCUAGAGUGAGAAAAUUCAAAGAAAAAGUGUGAUUUUUCAAGGAAUCAAGUGUUUAAAGGUAUGAUUUUUCAAGCUUAGCUUAAGAUUUAUCAUUUCCAUGCAUUUCUCCUUAUUUUCCAUGGUUAAAUUAUGUGUUUUGAUGAUGGAUUCAAAUCUGAUCAUAUGGGUUUAGAGAGAGAAAGUUGUUAGAUUAAUUUGAUUUUGAACUAUGUUAGUGUUUAGUGUUAGUUUAGCAUGUUUAUGAGUAAAACAACAAGAAAAAUAUUCAUUUUCUCCAUGAAUUUCUCUAGGCCGAAUCUAGCCAAUGGUGUGUGAGGAUGAGGUUGACUUUAUUUUAAGAGAAUUAGAUGGAAAAAUGAUGAAUUAUGAGGUUGGAAAUUAAAUGGAAAUUUUUGAGUGGGCACUGUAGUGACGGGGGUUCCGUGGGCUAGCCUAAUUAAAGGGGCACGGUUCUCAAUUAUUGAGCUUACCUCGAUUGGAGAGGCGCGUAGGAUAACUCCCGAUGUAGGAUUUGAGUACACUUCACGCUGACCACCAUGUGAAAUUGGGACUCAACCAACGCCAAGGAACGGCUGUGUUGUUAGAGGUGAAAUGUGCUUGUGUGUGUGACAAUAAACAGCCUUGAUGGUCUAGGUAAGAUGCCUUCGCGAGGUAUCCCCGAGAAUGGAUUUUUGGCAAGAGCUAAGUUUUUGAAAAGUGCAUAAGCCAUGUUGAGUAAUUGGAUGAAAUCUAAUUAUUUAUAUGGGUUGGGAUGAAUUAUUUUAAUUGUCUCCUAUUACUCGGUUUUAGAUUAUUUUGAUGAUGUCUGUCUACUCACUGAAAUUUUAUAAUCUCACCCCUUCUUUCUAUACAUUUUUCAGGCUCAGAAUAGGCAGUAGACUGUCAAUUGCAUCGAGAAGUAAAUUUCGGAGUUGCAUCCUAGAAAGCAAGGUUAUAGACUUAAAUUUUCUCAGUUAUUUGGAAGCCCACGUGUCAUUGUAAUUUAAAUUGCAUACUCCAAUUUUCUAUAUUAUAGUAUGUAUAAAUUUAUUUUAUUUUAUGUGCAGAUAAUUAAUUUUUGAUGUUUCAAAUAUAUAUAUAUUGUUUUACAUUAAAAUAGAUAAUUUUAAUUAAUAUUUUUAUUUUACUUUAUUAUUCAAAAAAAAAAAAGAAAGAGAGAGGAAUGAAAAAACUAGUACAAAAGCCUUGCGAGGUCUCAAAAGGCAUUCGGAGGAAGAAUGUCUGUCGAGGUUUCGCGGCGGUUGUCACAGGCUCGACGAGAGUUCUGGAUCGUGACAUUUUCCUUUUUCAUUUCUUUCUUUAUUGACGGCAUAAAAAUAAUAGUAAGAAAUUAAUUAUUUUUUAAUCUAUUUAAAUAAACAUAUAAACAUAUUAUAUGCAACAUAUAAGUAUUAAAUUACCAUACAUAUAUAUAUAUAUAAGGACAAACAAUCUUAUUGGAAGAAGAAAGUACCUAUCCUCUAAAUGCCAUCCACUGAUAUUGGCUGCUUCAGAUAAAGCAUCUCGCCAGCUUUGCGUCUUGUCUUGAUUAUAUCUAUCUUCAUGUUUAGCAAAGGCUUCUUUGACAUUCCCUGUCUGUUUCCGUAAAUCAGAUGGAUCGACAUGAUAGAAAAUAGGGAAAACCUUAUGUCCCCUGUCAUUUUUCUGGUUAAGAAUCUCAACAAGCUCGUCUAGACACCAACUUGAAGAAGCAUACGUUUUUGAAAAAACGAUGAUUGAACACCAUGAUUCUUUAAUUGCUUCAAGGAGCUUUGGUGCGACGUAUUCCCCUUGUUCAAGCUUUUCGUUGUCUCUGAAAGUGUUGAUUCCAUCAUUUUGUAAACGAGCAUAAAGAUGAUCUGUGAAGCCCUUGCGAGUAUCUUCACCUCUAAAGCUCAAAAAAACAUCAUAUUUCCAUCGAGAUAAAGAUGAAGAUGAUGAUGACGACGGAGAGGAAGUCACCAUGGUACUAGAAGGAGGAGGAGGAGGAGGAGGAGGAAGAUUUACCGGGGAAUUAAUCUGGAGAGUAAAUAAUGUUUGAGUGAAAACAUGUUGCUGAAUGGAGUUUGUAGAAAAGCAAAUCGACAUGUCUGAACACUUAGGGCCCCACUGUUGAAUAGCUUUUAGGUGAAUUCUAAAAUUUUGCUUUUUCAGCUACUUCAAUUCCAGAGCAUCGGCGUGGGACCCUACUUUAAACCUGGCCGUGCAAAUUUGAAGAGCAGUAGCGUCACUAGUGCUGUGGUUACAUCAUCAAUGCUGGAAUCUUUGAGAAUCAAAACUUAAGAUGGCUAAGGAAACUGUAUGCUUUUCCAUUGCCAUUUCAUAUUUGUGUGGAAGGAAAUUCUGGCUUCAUUGUAUAUUUCUCUUAAAAAAGUAUUUUAUUCACUAUAUCAGAAAUGUAACCUCAUGCUUGAUUAUGAACCUGCAGGUUGAAAGUCACGAUCUUAUUGCAUAUGGAUUGAUUCCUGAAUUUAUUGGGCGCUUUCCUAUUUUAGUUAGCUUAUCAGGUUUAAAUGAGGAUUAAUUUGUUGAGAUGUGUUUUUCUUUUUAUCUCAUGUGUAUUUUGCGGUAGGGCCUUGGACUAGUAUAUUGCUGUGCAAAGGGUCUUUACCUUUGAUGUAUAGUUCAAAAUAAUUCCACACUUUUAUAUCUGUUUUAAGAAGAUAAAGAAAAUAUGAGAGUUAAUUUCCUUUGAUGUAUGUGGAGUGCACUUAAGGCGAACCCAUAAAUUUUUAUGAGUGGUGUCAACAACUAACAAUUUGAUAAAUUUCUAUUGAUUAAUCAAAAUUAAGUAUAAACAUCCACAAAUCAUAUAGGGUUAAAUAUAAAAAUCAAAUAAUCAAAUAAUAUAUCUAUAAAAUAAAAAAAAAGAAAAAAUCAUAAUUUAAAAAUAUUAUUUCACAUGUAAAUUUGUUUUCUAUUAACUUGAUUUUGUUUGAUUCUCAAAUUAUCAAAUUAAUUAAAAAAAAUUAAAUAUGAAAUAUUUAAAAAUUUAAUUUGAAUUGAAAAUCACUAGAUGGAUUGUUUUAAGAGAGUGAAAAACAUAGUCAAGAAUUGAGGAGAAGAGACUUUACUACAGGUCUCAACAGUAGGAUUAGAAUUUUUUGGAGGGUGAAGGAGAGUAGGUUAAGUUUUAAUUUUUUUUAAUAAAAUCUUAAAUUAUAAUUUUUUUUAUCUUUUAGUAUUUAAAUAUUAAUAUAUAAAUUACUUUUUUAUUGAUCUCUUCCCCACAAAAUUACAAAAAAAAAAAAAUAAGUGAGUUCAUUACUAUCAUUAAUUAUAUAAAACUCUAAUUAAAACUUUAAUUAAGUAAUAUACUUAUAUAGAUUUUUAGGAAUUGAGUGGUGUCAUCUGGCAACACUCCUACAAGGCUGGGUCCACCCAUGUGCACUGUUAAGCAUAUUCCAAUCUUGUUUUAUAUUAGUUCAAAUACGCGUCUUGCAAUCAAACCCUUUAGAGAAGAAAUACAUUUGUUCGUCUUUUUGGCUAGAAUUUUGAACCUUUUUUCCGACAAAUUUGACCCCUUUUUUCCUACCAAUGCGAUCGGGAAUAAGUGGUUGGGAGGAUAGGUUGAAAACUCCUUGAUAUUUCAAUGAAAUGGCAUGAUUUUCUUUGUCAUCAUCUGCCAUCUUUUUUUCACCACUAGCCUUUCUUGCUUAAAUUAUACCAAGUGAGGCAUUAAAAUAUAAGAGGUUGAUAUGUUUUUAGAACAUGGAAAAAGAUGGCUCCAUCGUUCGAAGUGUAAAGUUGGGAGCCUAAUACUUUACUUGUGCACGAUCCAAUUCUUUAAUUACGCAGCAACACUGUGUCUAAUUGCGGGACUAAUCCCUCUAGUUUUGCCUCUUACUGAUUUUGUUUUUAUUCGAGUGCCCCUCAUCACAUUAACUACCCUUUGAAAAUGCAAAGGAAUGUUUUCCUAUCGAAGGACGGAUUCAGUUUCAAAAUUUAAUUGUUCAAUUUUGAAUUACAUUUGUUUGUUUCAUGUAGAGUUUAAUUACACAUAUUUUGGUGCGUAUCAAUCAUGUAAAUGUUGAUAUAAUUAAAUAGCCAUAAGUAUUAAAAAUUAAAAUGAUGUUUUUUUCUGGGCUAUGAAUUAGUUUUUUAUGAGAAUCCAAGGUAAGGGAAUAGUCCUAUAUUUUUUGUCCUACUUAUUUUUUUCUUUGGGUCAAGAAACACUUAUAUGAAGCAAAUCCAAAGGACAUUUUGGCUUAUUGCAAGUUUGAGUUGGGAUUUACCUUUUCAAUUAUAUAAGGAAUUUUCAAAAAAGGGUUGCUUAUUUUGUGCCUGUAUACUCAUGCAUUUGAACAGAUUUCAGACGCCAAGAUGGAAUCUCAUGGUAUAAAUGCAGUUUUGGUUGAUGAAAAAGCUGCUGGAUCAGUGGAUGAAACAGGAUGUGGGGCCAAAAGUCUUUAUGAUGAUGGUGAACUGGACAGGUUUCUUGUGAAAAGAACAGUGAAAGAUUUUGUGGUGCGUUUUCUCCUAAUGCACUUUCUUUGUAAUUGAUGUAGGUUGGUUUAUUGGAAAGAAUAAAAUAAAAAUAAAAUAAUUAUUUUUAAAAAAUAGAAUAAAAAAAGGAUAAUCAUUAUGUAAAUUGAUUUAUGAUAAUAGAAUAUGAUAGAAAUUGCUAUUAUUAAUUAUUUCAUUAUUUGAUUGGUAUGAAUAAUUUUAAGAAUAGUUAAGAAAUAAUGAGUAAAUAAUAAAAAUACCCUUUAUUAAAAUUUAAAAAUUUUUUAAUUAGAAAACAAAAAUACGAUGAUGAGAAAAAAAUAUUUUUUAUUAAAAUUAAAGAAUUUAUUUUGUUAAAAGAUAAAAAUAUUCUAAGUAAUAAAAUCAAAAUAAUUUUUACUUUAAUUAAAUAAUAUUUUCACCAAAAUACAAACAUAUUUUUAUUAUAAUUUAAUAAUAUUUUGUAUUAAAAGAUAAUUAAACCUUUUAUUAUAAUUAAAUAAUAUUUAAUAUUAAAAGACAAAAUAUAUUCUUCAUUAAAUUUAAAUAAUACUAAAUAAUAUUCUUUAUUACAUUUAUUAUAAUCAAAUAAUAAUAUUAAAUAAUAUUCUUUAUAACAUUUAUUCUAGUUAAAUAAACUAUUCUUUAUAACAGUUUAGAAUGUUAUAAACUACAAAAAGACAACAUAAGAUUUGAAUCGAAUUUUUUAAAUAAAGAACACAAACACUUACCAUAAAAAGAAAUACUCAAAUGCACGUUACAACACAGCUUAGGUUUACAUAAUACCUCAAUCACACAAAAGUAUUAAAGCGUGCACAACUUGACUGAAAUGCUCAUGGCAAAGAUAAGAGGAUCAAAACAAUAUCAAAAGGAUUUCACCUUUGUCUUGCUUUUAUAACCUUUUCAACUUGAAAAUAAAGAGGAAAGGAUAUGAAAGCAAAUUAGACUUAUAAGACAUGAUCCUGGAUCUUACAUCUCGAAAUAAAAUGCAAAUAAAUAGAUAAAAAUAGAAUUAAUUAAAGUCCAAUUUUAAUAAGGUAAAAGUUGUGGGGACAAAGAAUUAAAAAGACUAGUGAUUACCUGUUAAUCCAUGAGUAGUAUGCUGAUGGACAUGAUGAAAAGUUGGUGAAGUUGGAGUGCUAGGCUGCUCUAUUGUCAGGUCCAUGUCCUCUAUAUCACUUCGAUACACUAAUCGAGCCCCACACUUCUUCACCUUGGAGCCAAAGCCGGAGAAUUUAAUCUCAAAUAGAUUACAACUCAGAGGUAGCUCAAUAAUAUUGAAAGUUUUAAGUUAAAUAUUUAAAAGAGAUCAUUUUUAUUAAAAUUAAAAAAAAUUAUUAAAAGUUUUAAUUAAAUUUAUAAUUCAAGAAAUCAACUAUCACAUAAAAUAGAGAUAAUAUAAUAAUAUAUUAUAAACUUUAAAUUAAAAUAAAAAAAUCUGUAAAGAUUAAAACAAUAAUAUCUAAUUGUUGAAUGCUUAUUGCAAACAGUAAAUGAGACUUAGGGUUUUAUAAAGAGAAUAACAUAACAAACUUUCAGUAUAUUUUUUGGAGGAAAAUUGAAGGUAAAAAGAAGAUGGAACAAAUGAGGAACGAAGAUGGAGCAAAUGAGGAAAGAAGAAUUCAAAAGUAGAUAUUAUAAAUUGAAUAAAACAAGAUAAUUGUUUUUAUAUAUAUGAAAAAAAAACUGUUGGAUAUCAUUAAAUACAUAUUACCAUUAAUUGAUUAUAAAUAGAGGAAAUAGUUGAAAAAAAAAGCUAUUUGUCAAACCCUGUUCUAUAAAAUAAUUACGACGUCAUUUACAUGCUCAAUAGAAUGUUUGCAUGUUUAGGAAGUUUGAGGAAUCGUUAAAAGACGAUAUUACCUCUAAUGGUACCAUUAAGUCGAUUAAUACUCGAACUAGUUCAAAUAGAAAUUUUGAGGUGAAAUUAAGAGUUUCACAGUUCAUGGAUGACUCAAAAUGAUAAUUCGGAGUUCGAUGAUCAAUUUGGAGUCAAACCGAAAUUUUCACUAUUUAGGGGUAAAAUGGUCAUUUGCCACUUGGGGACAAAAUGAGAAUUUUCAGAAAAGAUUUUUUUUUGGCUCCAUUUAACUUAUUGGAGUAUGAUUUGAGUAUUGAAGUAUAAUUUGAGGGUUUGGGCGUGAAAAAGUUUAAUUUCGAUGAUUUCUGGAGUGUAGGGGCAAAAUCGUAAUUUUUCCACUCGCGGAUAAAAUUUGAGAUUUUGAGAGAAUUUAGAAAAAAUUUGACAAAUUGGAGAAUGGUAUGAGUAUAAGGGAUGAAAAAUAUGUCAAUGGGCAAUUUUUCAGUUUUUGGGGCAAAAAUGUAAUUUUUGACUUUUACGGGGGUAAAAGUGUAAAUUUCAAAAAUUACUCCACCAAGACUUUGGAUAAGUCUGAGAAUUUUAUCUAAGCUAUGGAUAUGUGGGACAAGUGUAUGGUGAAAAUUUGAAAAUAAAUGGAUGGCUAGAAUUUAAGGAAUUAAUAAAACAAAAAAAAUAAAUAAAAUAAUAUUAUAUUAUUUUAGCCUUUAAAAAUGUCAAAAUUUCCAGAAUUCUCAUCUUCUUCAGCUGUCCAAACCAGGAGAGAAAAAGGGGGAAAAGAAAUAAGAACCCUAGCUGAAAACAAUUUGGGGAAAAUCAAGAGAAAUCAAGAAAUCAAGCAUUAAAAAGGUAAAUUUCAUUGAUUUUUCUUGUGAUUUUCACUACCCAUGCAUUUUUUUCUCAUUUCCAUGCAAAAUUAGAAAGUGGGUAUGGACACCCAUGCUGGCCAAACCUCCAUGGAUGAGUUUGGAGCUUGAGUUUUGGUUGAUUUUAAUUGAAUUAAGUGAUUUUAGUUAGGUUAUAUUGAAAUAUAGCAAAAAUAAGCUAGAGAAAUAAUUUUCUCCCAUUGAAACCCAUUAUGCUGAAUUUUCUAGGGGAAUAUUGGCUGCUGAUCUUGAUGUUUAUUUGAGGAAUUAUGAUGAAUAAUGAUGUAUUAAGAGCCUAGAAAAAUAAUGGGAAUUUUAGGAGCAAAAAUAUGAAUUUUUACCUACUAGGGGUAUUUUUGUAAUUUGCUAUCGGGACUGAUAAUUUGCACCACACUGAGGAACAUUAAGUCAAUUUGGGUGCAAUUGAGGUAUAGAAAUUGAAAAAAAUUAAUUUGGAGUUUAAACGGACACGUAUAUUGCUUUAUCGGGUAAAAGACCGAAAUAGGCUAAUAUCUCGUUUAGGUAAAAUUUAGACAUUUGACACUUCAUAUCAUGCAUUAGUAGUAUAAAUUAGUUUAUUUUGGUUUAGUACCAAAGUAGUAAACCUCUUAAUUGUACAAUUCGUCAAGGUGGCGAAUCCUCUAGCUAGGGCAAAGAAAUCGCACUCGAGGAGUAAUAGUUGGAGUACCCGAAUUUAGUUUUCAGAAACAGUGAGUAAACUUAUUAUCGUCUUAAUUAUCUAGAGUAGUUUUAUACAAUUGUGUGAUUUUAUGGAAAAUGGGUUUAAAUGGUAAAUUGCUAUGUUUUAAGAGAAAUUGUGAUUUUAUAAAAUGAUUUUAUAAAUUUUCUGAAAAAUUGAAUACUGGUUUUGAAAAUAGAGUAAUUGGAGACUGCCUGCUUGUGUUGUAAAUUUAUGGUUUUAAAUUGAAUGGCUUAUGAUAAUAAAUGAGCAUGAAUGGCUAAACUGAUUUUGGUGUUAGAAUUAUUUGUAUUGUGUAUUUAGCCUUGAGAGGCUAGAUUGCGAUAAAUUGCCAUGUCAUGCAGAAAAAGAUUUUAUAAAUCAAGUGGUAGAUAAAAGAUUAGCUACUGCAGUGGUGGGGGGUUCCGUGGGUUAGCCUAUUAGAGGGGCACGGUAAACUCCUUUAUAUUCUCACCUUGGUCGUAAAGGCGCAUAGGGUAUCUCUUGAGGUGAGCUUUUUGAGUGCACUUCACGUGGACCAUCGCGUGAGAGUGAGACUCAGCCAACGUCAAGGAACGGCUAUGUUUCAAAAUAAAAAUAUGAUUUAUACGAAAUAUGAAUUUUUAACAGCCUUGGCGGACUCGGUUGGAUACCCCUGGUCCAGGUGUCACCGAGUACAGGAUUUGGAAUGAGCCAAGUUUUGAGUAAUUCACGAGCCAUAUUGAUUAUUUGGUUGAAAUGAAUAUUCGUGAUAUGAAAAAUUUGCUGAAGUUAAUUAUUUUUUAAUUGCCUCCAUUUACUCGCCUUUAGAUAGUUUAGAUAGUGUCUGUUUAUUCAUUGAGAUUUUAUAAUCUCACCACCCUUAAUUCCCCACAUUUCAGGUUCGGGAUAGCCGGUAGAUAGUCGAUUGCAUCAAGGACUUCAGUUAGCCUUGCAUUGACAAAAUUAUAGGUUCACAAACUCGCAUCUUAUUGGUUAGUUGAGGGCCCACGUGUCAUUGUAAAAGUAAUUUUAUACUUUCGUUAUCUGAUUUAAAAUAUGUAUGAACAUAUUUAGCUUUUACACCAUGUUUUUGGUGAGUUUCGGUAUUAUCGAAGAAAAAUGACGAAAAUGCCCCUAUGAGCUAGAAAAUAAUAUUUUAUUAUUUUGAUUUGGAAACGACUUAUAAUUUCUUGAAAUGCAAGAUUUAAUAACUGUCGCUCACCGGGGAGAUGCGAAAACUGAUGCUAAGCCUUGCGGGAUUUUGAUCGGCAUUUGGGGUAAUGAGUGCCUAUCGGGACGUCGCGACGGUUGUCACGGGCCCGAUGGGAGUUCCGGGUCGUGACACUAUUAAAGAUCAUUAAAUAUAUAUUACCAUUACUUGAUUGAAAAUAGGAGAAAUAGUUAAGAAUUAAUAAUAUUGUAAGAAUUGGGAAGUGAUAAAAAAAUAUAGAUUUAUUACGCACAUAAUUAAGAAAGUGGGAAAAUAUAUUAUUUUAUUAAUUAUCUUGAUUUUUAUAUGAAAAAUGAGUUAAAUUGUAAAGCUCGACCUUAUAAAAUACUAGGCAUUACAUACAUGUGAUGAUAGCAUGAUUGCAUGCUAGGAAAGUCCCAAAAAAUUUACAAAAGUCAGUAUUGUACCUAGAGGUACAACAAAGUUGAUUAAAUCUUCGAACUAGAUCAAAUAGGAAUUUUAAGGUGAGAUUAAGAGCGUCAUAGUCCAAAGAUGACUCAAAAUGGUAAUUCGGAGUUUGAGGAUCAAUUUGGAGUCAAAUCGAAAUUUUCACUAUCUAGGGGCAAAAUGGUCAUUUGCCACUUGGGGACAAAAUGAAAAUUUUAGAAAAGACUUUUUUGGCUCCAUUUGACUUAUUGAAGUAUAAUUUGACUUAUUGGAGUAUGAUUUGAGAUUUAGAAGUGAAAAAUUUUAAUUUCGGUAUAAUUUGGAAUAUAGGGGUAAAAAGAUAAUUUUACCACCCUAGGGGCAAAAUUGUAAUUUUCCACCACCAGGAUAUUUUUUCCAGCACAUGGUCUUCCUUUAUUCUGAUUUUUGACCUUUGACUAAUCAUGUGGUGGAGAUGAAAUGUUUCAAUUUUUAAAAUUUUAAAAAUGGACCAAUUAAAAAAUGCCAUGUGUCAAGCCUAGGAUAUUUUAUUAUUUAACUUAAAAAUCAGCCUAAAUCAGCCCAUUACUCUCCAAAUAUUUGGCCAAGCAAGGACGAGAGAGAAAGAGAGGAAGAACAAACCCUAGGUGAGGAAUUUCAAGAGAAAAAGUGUGGAAAAUCAAGGAAAACAAGUGAAAAAGGUAGGAUUUUUCAACUUAAGCUUGAAAUCUAUUUUCCUUAAGCAUUUCUCUUCAUUUUCCAUGCUUAAAUUACAUGUUUUUAUGAUGAAUUGUUGGCUGAUCAAAAUGGGUUAGGAGAGAGAAAGUUGUUGGAUUUAUUUGAUUUUAAUUUAUGUUAGUGUUUUUAGUUAGUUUAGCAUAUUUAGAAACAAAACAACAAGAAAAGAAUUUAUUUUCUCCCCCAACCAUUAAUGGCUGAAUUUACCAUGUAGUGAGUGAGGAUGAGUUUGAUUUUAUUCUAGGAGAAUUGGUUAAGGAAUAAUGAAUUAUGAGCCUAGAAAAAUAAUGGGAAUUUUCGGAGCAAAAAUACGAAUUUUUACCCACUAGGGGUAUUUUCGUAAUUUGCUGUUGGGACUGAUAAUUUGCACCACACUGAGGGACAUUAAGUUAAUUUGGGUGCAAUUGAGGUAUAGAAACUGAAAAGAAUUAAAUUGGAGUUUAAACGGACCCGUUAGGAAUUUAAUCGGGUGAUAAGACGAAUUAGGCCAAUACCGGGUUUAGAUAGUUACCAGUGCAUUUUUGCAUUCCAUAUCAUGCAUUGGUAGUCUAAAUUAGUUUAAUUUUGAUUUAGUACCAACUUGGUGAAACUCUCGAUUUUGUACUGUGUCAAGGUGGUGAGUCCUCCGAUAAAGGCAAGGAAAUUGCAUCCGAGGACCAGUAGACAGAGUGCUUCGAAAGUCUGCAUUCUAGACAUUGUGAGUAAACUUACUGUCAUUUUAAUUAUCUAGGGUGGUUUUUAGAUGCUUUCAUGAAUUCUAUGGAAAAAGGAAUUUAAAAAGAUAAAUUUUCAUGUUUUAUGAAUAAAUGAGUUUCAAUGAAAUUAAAUUAUAAAUUGUUUUGAAAUUAAUAGUGAUUUUGAAAAAUAGAGUACACGGAGACUGUUAAUUGUGGCAAUUUGAUUGUUUAAAUUAACUGGCUUAUGAUAAAUCGAGCAUGAUUGGCUAGUUGGCAAUUGUAUUGAAAUGCGAAUUGUUUGGUUACCUUGAAAAACUACGAAUUACAAAAUUGCCAUAUCAUGUUAUUGAGUUUUAUUAUAUGGUGGAUUAUAUAUUAAUUAAUCACUGCAGUAGGGGGUUUCUGUGGACCAGCCUUUUAGAGGGGCACGGUAAACCCCAUUAUAUUCUUACCUCGAACGGAGAGGCGCGUAGGGUAUCUCCUGGGGUAAAGUUUAGGGUUCACUUCACGCUAAACCACCACGUGAGGGGGAACUCAGCCAACGCCAAGGAACGGCUAUGUUUUCAAAACAAAAACAUGAUUUAUGUGAAAUGUGAAUUUUAAUAGCCUUGGCGGUCUCGGUAGGAUGCCUCGGCCAAGGUGUCCCCGAGAAUGGAUUUAUGGCACAAGCCUAGAUUUUUAUGAGAUUCAUAAGCCUCUUUACGUGUUUUGAACAAAAUGUGUUCUAAUGCUAUAACCCAGUUUAUGAUGAUUUACUUUAUUGUCUCCAUGUACUCAACUCUAGAUGUUUAUGAUGAUGUUUGUUUACUCAUUGGGAUUUUAUAAUCUCACCACCCUCCUUUCCACCCAUUUCAGGUUCAGUAUAGACUGUAGAUAGCUGAUCUCAUCGAGGACUACCGUUGGAUCUGCAUUUUUCAAACCGUAGGUUCACAGUCCUCUUUACUUUUGUAUAUUCAGGGGCCUUUUUGUUAUUGUAAAUUAAAUUAAAUAUUUUGGCUUACUGUAUUUCAGCAUGUAUAAAUUUAUUUAGCCUUUACGCUACAAAAAUUAUUUACGUAUAACUCUAUAAAUAUUGUUUUAUAAGAAAAUAGAAUAUUUUACUUAAAAUUUCUUUUAUUUUCUUAUUAUAUUCAAAUAACCAUAAUUUCAUUUUAAAUGAAGAUUUUAGACUUUUAAACUCAUUUUGAUUAUGAAUUAUGUCUUUUGUACUUGUAUAUUACAUGUUAGCCAGUUUCAAAAUUUUUUAGAAAAAUGGUCAAAAUAUCCCUGUGAGACGAAAAUUAAUAUUUUAUUUGUUUUAAGUUGGAAAAGGUUUAAAAUCUUUUAGAGCACGAUAAUUGACAAUGGUUGCUCACAAAAGAAUAGAAAAACUGAUAGUAAAGCCUUGCAGGGUUUCAGGUUAACAUUUAGGGCAAUGAGUGUCUACCGAGACACCGCGACAGUUGUCACGGGCUCGAGGGGUGUACCGGGUCGUGACAUAAAUAGUUGAGAAUAAAUAAGCAUGUGAAAGAGAGGGAAAAUAAAUAUUUAUUAGACUUGAAUGAUAGGUAUAUAUUUUAAUAAUUAUACUAAUUUUUGUAUUUUUAAUAUAAUUAAUUAUAUUGUUAUUAUAAAAUUAGGAAGCCUACUAAAAAUUUGGGGCCUAAAGCCACCGCUUUGGUUGCUUUACCCUUAAGCCGGCACUGAAGCUCGGGCAAUGUUUCAAGCUUCUUGCAAACCACCAAUUUGAGACGAUGAAUCUUGGUAAGUUGACAAAGAUUUGCAGGUAGGCUGGCGAAACUGUUAUCACUAAGAAUCAGUGUUUCCAAUGAGGGUAAGCAACAUAUAUCACUAGGAAGAGGCCCCUGCAAAAGAUUCCUGUCGCUUAUAUUCAGCUCUGUUAAAGAACUCAAACCUUAUAAACGAGGUAACGUCAAAGCCAUGGGAUUCAAACAUUGUUUGAAAAGCAUGAGAUUCAGACUUGAUGAUAGUACCCCGCGUCUCAUCCUAUACUUCCUCCUUAUGAGGGAUGUUGAUAAAUUUUCAAGUUCAGAGCAGUUAGAAAGAUUAAGAACUUCUAGACUGCCGAGAUGUCCAACAAAAAAGGGUAGUUCUUCAAUGCCUGUCCCAUCUAAAUAGAGCUUCUGCAAACAUUUCAUUUUCCCAUCAAUCUCUGGAAACCUUUGAAGAUACGUGCAGCCUGAAAGAAUCAUUGUUUCCAGAGAUUUCAUUUCAAUUUUGGUUGGAAGACUCUCAAGCCUUUUGCAGUUUCUUAAAUUCAAAUAUUUAAGCUUCACUAGAAAGGCGAUUGAUGGAUGAACAUCUGUAAUUUUAGUACAACCUUCCAAGCUCAAAGUUUUGAGAUUUUUUGGUCAUUGUGAAGUCUGGUGUACUGAUCAGGUUUUGGCAGCCUUUGAGGUUGAGGACUUUGAACUUAUUUAAAGACUAUGGAAGAAACAAUAAAAGGAAACAUAAAUUGUUAUUUUGUGACGACAUUCAAAUUAUUUAUAAUUUCUAAGAAUAUAAGCUAAAAGACCAACAUCAAAUAAACUAUUUCUUACUUUGUUUCCCUCCCAUAGUUGUGCAAUGCAGCUAUUGGGUAAGAGAAGUACGACGAGGUUGUCUGGAUGGAAGGCCCAAGGCAAUGAUUUUAAAGGAUACUUAAGCCAUCCUAAAACACUUAGCUCAUUAGAAAGAUAUACGAGAUCACAAAAUUCUAGGACACCACGGACUAUGAGCAAUCUUAGUUUUUUCAUUUUUAAGAAGGCAUCAGCACUCAAAGUGAAAGUCUCAUUUUGUUACCUAAUAAGAAGAAUAUCAAUCAAUUAUUAAUUUCAUGAUAAUAGACUAAAAAAUCUUUAAUUAAUAUUAAUAAUUAUAACGUAAAUGUUAAAAUUGAUGUUAUUUUUUUAUUUUUAUAUAAUGAAAACUAAUUAUUUUAUUUUUACAUGGUAGAUGUAAUAUGCUUACAUGUUUUAUUUCAAUAGUUAAAAAAUAUAUAAUUGCAUACCAUUACUUUUAUAUUUAUAUAUUUUUGUAAAGAUACAUUACUUUUAUAAAUAAUUUUAGAAAAAAAAAUAAACGAAAGUCGGAAAUGUGUAACAUAAAAAUAAUAUAAUUAAUAAAAUAAAAUAAGAUUAUAUGAUACAUUUGAAAGAGAAAAUUGUGAGAGAAGGACUUCGUGAUAAGGUGAUUUCAGAAAUAACCACACAUAUAAAGUUAUUUGUUUCUAUCUAAAAAUAAACAUGAGUAGACCAAAAUGCCCUUAAAAACAUCGUUUCAAAUAAAUGCUCAACUGUUUAAAAUUCAAGUUUUUAUCGAUGAUAAAGAUAAAGAUAAAAAGAUAUAUAUUUGUACCUUGUAAUACCGUUGAUGACCAUGCCUUCGAUCACUUCCGUCUCCUAAACAUCAUAAGUACCAUAAGGCUUUACACAAAAAAGAUGCCUUCAACAUUUUUUCUUGGGUGGAUAAUUUGUAAGUAGAGAGUAAAAUAAGUAAAUAAUAAAUAUAAUAUAAUCUCUAUGAAAUACUAUCCGAGUUUUGUGUUAGCACAUGAUAUACAUCCUCUUCCUCCGACAGUAUAAAACAUUUGCUAGGUUCAUCCAAAGACUUUGCCAAACAAUAUAUCUUCCCAUUUCUUGUAGCAACUCAUGCAUUCAAAUUCUGUUGUCUUCAACUAUUAUGGGAGAUUUUUUGAUGAGAACAUCUAGUCCAAUAUUGGGGAUUAUACCCAUAACCAGCCAGUAAUUUUGUUACAAAGUCUUUGUCCAAUCCAUUGAAGAAAUGUGCGAUAUCUAGAAAUAUUUUCUUCUCUAUUUCAUCUAAUCCCUCAAGGCUUAUUCGAAGACAAUUUUGAAUAUCAUUAUUAAGAUAUCUUUUAAGUUUAGCUACUGCAGUGGUGGGGGGUUCCGUGGGUCAGCCUAUUAGAGGGGCACGGUAAACUCCUUUAUAUUCUCACCUUGGUCGUAGAGGCGCAUAGAGUAUCUCUUGAGGUGGGCUUUUUGAGUGCACUUCACGUGGACCAUCGCGUGAGAGUGAGACUCAGCCAACGUCAAGGAACGGCUAUGUUUCAAAAUAAAAAUAUGAUUUAUGCGAAAUAUGAAUUUUUAACAGCCUUGGCGGACUCGGUUGGAUACCCCUGGUCCAAGUGUCACCGAGUACAGAAUUUGGCAUGAGCCAAGUUUUGAGUAAUUCACGAGCCAUAUUGAUUAUUUGGUUGAAAUGAAUAUUCGUGAUGUGAAAAAUUUGCUGAAGUUAAUUAUCUUUUAAUUGUCUCUAUUUACUCGCCUUUAGAUAGUUUAGAUGGUGUCUGUUUACUCAUUGGGAUUUUAUAAUCUCACCACUCUCAAUUUUCCAAAUUUCAGGUUUGGGAUAGCUGGUAGAUAGCCGAUUGCAUCAAGGACUUCAGUUAGCCUUGCAUUGUCAAAAUUAUAGGUUCACAGACUCGCAUCUUAUUAGUUAGUUGGGGGCCCACGUGUCAUUGUAAAAGUAAUUUUAUACUUUCGUUAUCUGAUUUAAAAUAUGUAUGAACAUAUUUAGCUUUUACACCAUAUCUUUAACGUUCCCUGUUUGUUUUCGCAAGUCAGAUGGAUCGACAUGAUAAAAAACUGAAAAAACCUUAUGUCUCCUCUCUUUUCUCUGUUUAAGAAUCUCAACAAGCUCAUGUUGAAAAAUUUUAAAUCCAUAAAAGUCGGUCAAUUUCAAUUUUAUUUAAAAUUUUUAAAAAAUUUUGUGCAAAAUACUUCCUAAUCUUUUGCCUGUCUUUAUUAUUUGUUUUUGAUAUAACAAAAAUUUGCUCUAAUAGUGUAAACCUAUUUCAAGAAAAAAAUAUAAUCAUAAAUUAAAUAAUAAUUAUUUAAUUAUUGGUUUGAUAAAAAUUAUUUGGUUUACAUGAUUUAAUUAUUUGUUUCAACAGACAGUAAAAAAUAAUUAUUAUUUAUUAAUUUCAUAAAAAUUAUUUAAUUACAUGAUUUAAUGGUUUGUGUUAAAAACAGUAAAUUAAAUAGUAAUUAUUUAUUGGUUUGAUAAAAAUUAGUUGAUUUACGUGAUGUAAUUAUUUGUUUUAAAAACAAUUUUCUUUACAUGAUUUUCGGAUGCAAGUUGAUUAAAUUAAUCUUUAAAUAAGUUAGUAAAAAUUAUCAAAGUUGAUAACAUAUAACCCGUCUGAAUCUAAAUAACCUAUUCAAGUUUAACUUAAUUUGACUUUAAAAGUCAAUAAAUAAUUCAAACACUAUCAAAUGAUCCACCCAAGAUCUAACCUAAAUGCAAAAUAAUCCAAAAUUUCAUUUUCCAAAAUCGAAACAGUCAAAAUCCAUAAUAAUAUAAUCCAACAUGAAUUGCCUAAAACAUCCUAUUGUCAUAUUAUAAAACUAAGUAUAGUAACAAAAUCCAUGUAUGCAAGUUUUUAAUAAUAUUUGUGAAAAUUUUAAGCAGUGCAUGUAUCUCUUUCAUUUCACUUAAUAAUAAACUUAAAAAGGGCGAGAGAAUGGACAUUUAAAAGUUGGAUUUUGUGUGAAAGAUCAUAGAAAUAAAAUAUAUAUUUUUUAGGCAAAAUCAACAUUUCAAACUAAUGAGGGAUUGUUAAAUAGGUUAUUAAUGUUGAUAGUCUGUACUCUCAGACUAAAACAUUAAUAAGCAAUUAAUUUUAUUAUUCUAAUUUUUAAAUUAAAUAAUAAAAGGUUAUUUAUGAAAAGUGCUUAUUGAUACAAAGUCAUAACUAAAAAGUUAAAAAUAGUUACCUUAUUAAAUAUAUUUUUUGAGUAGUUAAAUUAUGAAAGAAAUAACUAUUUCAAGAGUUAUAUUAUAAAAAAAAUAAGUCUUUAUAUUAAAAGACGUAUACCUUGAAAAAAACGUUAACUUAUGCCCUUAAAAUUAUACCUUUUUUUUCUCAAAAUUUCUUCUUUCUUCUCAAAUAUUUCUAACACAUUCUAGAUGUUACCAUUUGCAUUUCGAACAACUUUUUUUUUCUCUGUUAGAGAGUGGGUUUGGGAAGGUCGAUCACUAAAGGAAAAGAAAAAGGUUGCUUUGGCUAAAGCAAUGUUUUCUUUUGUUUAUAUUUGGAAAGAGAAAAUGAUUAUAUAAACAAAGUAUUUAUGAAAGAGUAGUGUUAAAGUGGAUCAUGACUCAGAUUGAAUUAUCUUCAUGAACAAGUAAAUUCUUCUUUACCAACAACAAAGAUUCCACAUUGCACAAUCACAACCGUCUCUCACUCUGCACUUCCAUUCUAAACACUAUCAAAGGAGUUACGACUUCUAUCUUCAGCUCCAUAUCCUACACUUCACCUCCUCCUGUUGUCCACACACAUUAUUAAAAUAUGAAAAAGAAAAGGCAGCAGCCAUUGAUCAAUCCAUCAACAAAACUUUUUCGGUUAUAACUUUGUAUCUGUAACGAAAAAGGGGGCACGCAUCUGUAACCUCAAUAUAUAUAUAUAUAUAUAUAUCCAUCCUUUUCAGGUGUUGUGAAUUAGGAAUUUAGGAAGAGGAAUGCAACCGAUUACCAAUGAAGCAUCAAAUUCCAGGCUUGCGGCCAUUACAAGCAAAUUAAAAAAAAAAAAAGAAUUAGUACUAAGAUGCUAUUUUAUUAGCUGCAAGUAAUUUUGUCUGUGUUUCUGUAGCCAUCUUUGGAAGCUAAUUACUUAAUGGUUCAGAUAGAUGCCAAACGGAUAUGAUUCCCUUUUUUUUUUUCUCUUUUUAAUUAUUAAUUAUUUUCCAUGAACAUGAACAUCCCCAUGAACGUGGCUUCUACAUUUCCCCACUUCAAAAUUUCAGAAAUACAAUGAUCAAAGAAUCUUGAAAAAGAAAAAAAACAAACAUAAAUAUGCUUGAGCUUAGAUUUUUGAGUUAUGGAAGAUGAAUACUUUGAAAAAGAGGAAUAUGAAGAACGAGGAUAGUGUAAUCUGGCUCCAAAAAGGGUUUUGAUGCUUAGGCUAACAAGUAAUUUAGUAAUUUAAUCAUAUUUUGACAUUUUGUGACGAGAUAUUUAUUAUUAAAUCUAAUGAAUUUGGGCUAAAUUACAACAAAAUCAUAAGAACUUGUAUGGAUUUUAUCAAAAGAAAAAAAAAAAAAAGAGAGAAGAAAACUUGAUCAAUUAAUGGACUUUAGAAAGCAAAGUACACGUGUCGUGACCCGUAUAUCGGAGUAGGCUCCUGAGUAUUAAGGAGCUCGGUGGACGGCCCCUCCAGUAACCACCUAGUCAACAUUGAGCCCAGCCAGCCAGUCCAGCACACUACCCAAACAAACAAGCAGGCUACCAUGCAGAUUGGCCUACAAGAUGUCUCCCCUUGAGUAGAAGGAGUUGAGGAGGCAGUUGGGGAAGCUCAUUGAGGCUCGUUUCAUCGUGGUUUCUAAGGCCCCAUUUGGUGCGUAGGUGUUGUUUUAGCACAAGCAUGAUGUCUCCUUGCAUGUAUGUGGAUUAUCGAAUGUUGAACAAGCUGACCAUUAAGAACCUCAUACCACUUAUAGUAGAUUUAUUUGAUUAGUUGAGGGAGGCUACAUGGGUUAGGAAGUUGGUCUUGAGGCCAGACUUCUACCAAGUGCACAAAGUUGACGGUAAUAAGCCCAAGAUAGCUUGUAUCAAAUUUUUGGUCAUGUCAUUUAGGCUCAUCAAUGCAUCAAUCAUGUUUUACACGCUCAUGAACAAAGUACUCUAACCCUUUUUUGAUAAAUUUGUGAUGAUUUACCUUGAUGAUAUUAUUGUUUAUAGUAAUACCCUUGUUGAGCAUGUAGAACAUCGUAAGCUUGUCUUUGAUGAACUGAGAGCACAUAAAUUGUAUUUCAAAAAGGAAAAUGUGUAUUUAGCUUGCAUUAAAUACCAUUCUUGGGGCAUAUUAUUAGGAUAGAUAAGAAUAAGUUGAAGGAAAAUCUUAGAGUGGGAGCCACCCAUAAACGAGAAAGAAUUAAGGCCUUUUUCCGGGUUGGUGAACUACUAGAGGAUAUUCAUUAGGAGCUACUCAUCCAUAGUUGCACCCCUCAUGAAUAUGCUGAAGAAGUGAAGGAAUUGGGACAGGAAUGGAGUCAAAGGGCGUUUGAGAGGUAUAAACAGGUAAUGACUGAGAAGCUAGUUCUAGCCAUAUCCGACCAUGGUAGGCCCUUUGAGGUAUACACAAAUGCUUUUGAUUUUGCCAUUGGUGGCGUGCUGAUGCAAGAUGGCUACCUUAUUGCAUAUGAAAGCAGAAAAUUGAAUGAGAUCAAGAGACAAAUAUUACUCAAAUAAUCUUAAUGCGAAACUGGAAUAAGCUAAACUUGAAAAUGACUUGAAUUUUCUUGCACCUCAAAGUGAUUGUCCAUCUAAUUAUCACCCCUACCAACUAUGAUAUUAUGAAAUAUCUAUAACAUGCAUAUAUAUAUAUUUGAGAUUUCUUAUCCUAUAAAGUUUUGUUCAAGUAUUUGUUAAAGAUUUCAUAAACUAUCGCAUCUCUAAUAUCAAAAAAAAUUUCUCAUUCAAAUGAUAAUUUUAUUAAGCACUAGUAUAUGAUCAUAUACUAUCAUGAUGUAUUUCAAAAAGAUCAGAUUAAAGCAUAUAAACACAUACCAUAAAGACAAUGUUCUUAAAACCUAAAAUAAAAAAAAGAACACGAGUCACUCUAGCAUAACCACAUUCUAUUAUCAUGUAUAACACAUUUCAAUAUGAUCCAUUCCGAAUUGAGUUAAUAUACCAUUUAUCUCAAAUAUAAGCAAUAAAUUGAAAAUGACUAGAAUUAGAUUUCGUUGAGUAGUAACACAAUUGAAAUAUUAUUUUUAUUUACUAGGCCCACACAGUUUAGAACGUUAUAAAUCACAAAAAAAUAACAUAAGAUUUGAAUUUGACUUUUUAAGUAAAGAACACAAUCACUUACCUUUAAAUGGUUUAUUCCAAUGCACAAUACAACAGGACUUUUGUUUAAUUAAUACCUCAUUCACGCAAAGCUAUUAAAGCAUGUACAACUUGGCUGAAAUGCUACUGACAAAGGUGAGAGGAUCAAAACGACAUGCACAAAGGAUUUCACCUCUGUCCUCCUUCUAUGACUUCUUCGACCUAGAAAUAAAGAAUAAAGGUUAUGAAUGCAAAUUAGAAUCAUAAGACAUGAUCAUGGAUCUUACUUUUUUAAAUUAAAUGCAAAUAAAUAGAUAAAAUGGAAAUAAUUAAAGUCCAAUUAAUUUGGUCAUGUAAAAAGUGAAAGCAGAAUAAGAGCUGUGGGGACAAAGAAUUAUAAAGACUAGGUGAUUAGUGGUUCACGGGAAUGUUUCUUCCACCUGAUAAAAUAGCCAUCACUUGACAAGGGCAGCAUUCCCUGUUGAUCCAUCAGAAGUAUCUUUUUCUUUUUUUGCUGAGCCCAUCAGUAGAAUCUUGAUGGAUAUCGCUAAAAUUUGUUGAAGUUGGAGUGCUAGACUGCUCUAUUGUUGGGUCCAUGUCCUCCAUAUCACUUCGAUACACUAAUCGAGCCCCACACUUCUUGACCUUAGGACCAAUGCCAAGGGUUUCGAAUAAAAUCUUAAUUCCAAUACACUUCUUCACCUUGCAAUCUCCACUUUCGUCAUUCCAAAAAUAAUCUACAAUGUCACGAGGCAAAUACCCUAGCCAAAGAUGGUCCUUCAAGAUCCGGUGUGAAUCGCUAUGAAAAUUAAACCCAUAAGUAGGUAGCCUAUGUUGAAAAUCUAUAGAAUGGAUAAUAACAGUACACAUAGCAAGAUCCCUAAUCCAAUCAUCAUUAUUGGAGGGAGGCACAAAAACACAGCAGACGGCGAUUCCCAUCCACUGAUCACCAUCAUUUUGCAAAUUGGGAGGCAUUGAUAUCAUUACUGAACCUUCCUCACUCUGGUGAUUAAACCAUUCAAAGAUUUUACUUCCAGGAAUAAGCAUGUCAAAUAUCGUUUUUGCUUUCGCAAUUGCCUGCAAAACAAAGCCCCGUUUGAAAAUACACAUUUUGCAACAGAAUUAUUUUGAAAACUUUCAAUAUGAUGCUUGAAGUUUGAAAAUUCAUAAUUAGAUAUUUGAAUUUUAAUUCAAUUAGUUCGUUUGAAAAUUUUGAUUAACGGUGUUCAUCAAAUAGGUGACAUGUCACAAAACAAUCAAUAAAAAUACGUCACAUGUCUAAAAAUACUACGUCAGUUUAAUUUUUAUUUUUUUAAAAAAAAUUGUUUUUAAAGAAAAAAAACCGUUUUUUUUGCUAAAAAUUUUUAUUUUUAAAACAAAAAUAAAAAAAUUCAGAAAAUUCAAAACAAAAAAAAAAUUUCGGUUUCUUACAAAUUUUAUUUUUGAAAUUUAAAAUAAAAGAUUUUUAAAAUAUGGAAAAAAUAAAUUAUUUUUAAAAUAAAAAAUAAAAAAUUGACAUAAUAUUCAAAAAAGACCAUAAACUAUUCAAAAAAAUCUAAAUAAAAUCUUAUAUGUUUAUUACGUUAAAUCAAACCUUCAUUAUAAGUUAAUUAAGUCUUUAUAACUAAUAAUUAAUUAUUAUUGUGUAACUAAAUUAUCACACAACACUUACAUGGCAUACUACAACGACGUAAAUUAGUGCCAAUCUAAACCAACACUAGCUCGAACAAUGCCUUCCUCUCCUUUCACCUUGUCUCUCUUUCCUCCCUUCCUCCUCCUUCCCUAUGUAUAUCCCCAAAUUUCCCUAUUUCUCUCUCCCUAAUUUUUUAUUCCUCUUUUUGAUUUCUUCUAACUUUUGUCAUUUUCUAGAUUUUUAAAAUUUUUAAAAUUAUUAUUUUAUUGUUAAAAAUGAAAACGUUAGAACAAAAACAAAAAAUAAAACACAAAAAAUGAUGAGUCACAUGCACAUUCUUAUUAGUUAUUUUUUAUCAUAUUGUUGAUUUGACUAACUGUUAAUAAAUAAUUCAAACCAUUCAACGAAAGUAAAAUUUAAAUAUCUAUUCGUAACUUUUUAAAUUUUAAGUAUCAAAUCGAUAAUUUUGCCAUGAUCAAAUAUCAAAUGCAUAAUUAAUCCAUUAAUUUACUACUAUAAAUUCUUGGGAAUUAAGGGUAAGCGAGUUCUAGAAAUAUACCUUAAUAUGUCCUUUUAGCAUUCCUAAUGCAUUUUCAUUCCCAACCAAUUUGAAGCAAUUAAGGCCGUAACAAUAUGCCUUACUCCAUAUAGGGUUAUAACUUCUUCUUUUCCAAGGAUUGUAUGGUUUUGUUGGAUUCGGAACUAUCUCCAAUGAAGCACAACCACCUAACCCUACUGCCUUUAUGCUUGAUGGAAGCUCAGGCAAUGAUUCAAGCUUUUUGCAAUCCCAUAAUUCGAGACGAAGAAGCUUGGUAAGCUGACAAAUAUUUGCAGGUAGGCUGACGAAAUUGUUAUGAGUAAGAAUCAGUGUUUCCAAUGAGGAUAAGCAACAUAUAUCAUUAGGAAGAGCCCCUUCACAAAGAGUCCUGCCGCUUAUAUUCAACUCUGUCAAAGAACUCAAACCUGAGAAACGAGUUAACGUUAGAGCUAUGGAAUUCGGACUUUUUUUGAAAAGCAUGGGAUUCAGACUUGGUAAUAGCACUCUGCAUCCCUUCCUAUAUAUCCUCUGUAGGAAGGAUGGUGGUAAAUUUUCAAAUACAGAGCAACUCGAGAGAUUAAGAACUUUUAGACUGCUGAGAUCUCCAAUUGAAGAGGGAAGUUCUUCAAUGCUUGUCCCAUCUAAAUAGAGCUCCUGCAAGAGUUUUGAGAUUUGAGAUUCUUAUAGAUUCUUAAAUUCAAAAGUUUAAGCUUGGGUAGAAAUGCAAUGGAUGGAUGGACAUCUACUAAGCUGGUACAGCCUUCCAAAUUCAAACUUUUGAGAUUUUUGGUCAUUGUGAAGUCUGCUAAAUGUUCAAGUUUAGAGCAGCCCGAAAGAAUCAAUGUUUCAAGAGAUUCCAUUCCAAUUUUGGUUGGGAGACUCCUAAGGCUUUUGCAGUUUCAUACAUUCAAAAGUUGAAGCUUGGGUAGAAAUGAGAUGGAUGGAUGGACAUCUACUAAGCUGGUACAGCCUUCCAACUCCAGACUUUCGAGAUUUUUGGCCAUUGUGAAGUCUGAUGUCCUUAUUAGCUUUGGGGAGUGUUGGAGGUUGACGACUUUUAACUUAUUUAAAGGCUGUCAAAGAAACAAAAAACUUGUUAAUUUGUAACGAUAUUCAAAUUAUUUAUAAUUUCUAUGAAAAUAAGUUUAAAGGCCAACAUUAAAUAAAGUAAUUCUUACUCUCUUUCCCUCCCAUAGUCGUUCAAUGCAGCUAUUAGGUAGGAGAAGUGCAACAAGGUUGUUUGGUUGGGAGCCCGAAGGCAAUGAUUCUAAAGGACAUCCAAACCAAUCAAAAAACCGUAACUCUUUAGAAAGAUAUCUGAGAUUAGAAGAUUUAAAGAGACCACGGACUAUGAGCAAUCUUAGUUUUGUCAUCUUCGAGAAGGCAUCAGCAUUCAAAGUGAAAGUCUUGUUUUGUUCCCUAAGAAAUGAUAAGCAAGGGAAUACAGACAAAUGAGCUUCACAACAUAUAUAGCAAUAGAACAACCUACAAAGCUGGAGUGUUUGUGUCUGUAUAUAUAUAUAAAGAAUCCUUGACACUUGGAAAAGUCACUAGAUAUGCAUGUAUUCUAGAUGCUCAUGAACUUGAGUUUCAUCUUGCACAAAAACUAUUAAAGUCUCAAUUCAAAUUUAUUGAUUUCUAAUGCAACCAAUAUUUCUGUUUUGCAUUCUUAUUUCUUGUCCACGUUCAAUCAAAAUUUAAAUUCCUUUGUCAAGCUCUUUUCUAUAUCAACUGGAUUAUCACGGUUUUUCCUUUUUGUAUUUUGGUAGCAUUAAUAUACUACCAAUGAUUAAGUUAAUAUACACUUUUAGGUAAAGUCAUUCCAAAUUUUUAAUUUUAAAAAUUGGUUUAAUUGAUAUGUGAAUAUUUCUUUAGUUAUGUACAUAUCUUUACGAUCUCCGCAAAUAUCGUAACUCAAUACUUUUGUAUAUAAUGACAAUUAAUAUAAUUUAUUUAAAUAAAUAAAACAUGUUUCGCAUAUCCAUUCCAUACGAUUUAAAUUGGCUGCCAUUUAUGAAGCCCUCGGUAGGCUUAAUAGGCUGCCAUUUGACAUCUAAUUAAGCACCAUAAGAUAAUUCAGAGGAAAGAAAAGAAAAAGAAGAGAAAUACAAAAACGUUCAUAUUAAGUAAAAAAUAAAAUAAAAUUGUGGCAUACAAAUACACUUAAUUAAAUAAAGUAAAAAUAUGAUCAAAAAUAUAUUUAAAAAUUUUAAUUAUUGUACAAUUAAUAAAAUUAUAUAUGGAUAUUUAAAUAAAAGGAAUCUCAAUCAAUUAUUAAUUUCAUGAUAAUAAACAUUAAAAUGUUUAAUUAAUAUUAAUAGUUAUAACGUAAAUGUUAAAAUUGAUUUCAAUAUUUUUACUUUCUUUUAAAGAAAACUAAUUAGUUUAUUUUUACAUGGUAAAUGUAAUAUACUUAUAUGUUAAUUUAAAUAAUCAAAAAUAUUUUAUUUCACACCAUUCCUUCUAUAUAUAAUUUCAGAAAAUAAAUAAAUGAAAGUCGAAAAUGUGUAACAUAAAACUAAUAUACUUAAUAAAAUAAAAUAAAACAGGAUUAAAUAUGUCUUUUAACUUGUUCCAAAGUUGCACAAAAUAUCUUAAUGUAAUAAGAACAUCAAUAAAAUCUGCGUCCCCUAGAUUUUAUCAGAACAGGCAGCUUAGAGGUCUGAUUCAUUCAGGUCUAUGGCUGUUUUUAUUUAGCCAACAAACUGUUUUUGUAAUAUGUAUCUGUCAUAGUAAUGAAUUUACAAUCCUUUUAAAAAAAGAUAAUCAAUAAUUAAGAAUAAAAUUGUUAAUUUAAUAAAUUACAAAAAAUAAAUAUAUCGUUUUCUAUUUCUAUUUUUUGAAUUCCGGGUUUUUAUAGAUAAUAAAGAUAAAGAUAAAGAUAAAUGGAUAUGUGUAGUUGUACCUUGUAAUGCUGUUGAUGACCAUGCCUUCAAUUGCUUCUGUACCCUAGACAUCAAGAGUACUGUAAGGCUUUACAUAAAGAUGGAUAAUUUGCCAAUUUAAAUAAAGAGUAAUAUAAAUAAAUAAACACAACUUACUCAUUAUGAAAUACUAACCGAGUUUUGUGUUAGCACUUGAUAUACAUCACUUUCCUCCGACAACCUACAUCCUUUGCUAGGUUCAUCAAGAGACUUUUGCCGAACAAUAUAUCUUCCCAUCUCUUGUAACAAAUCAUGCAUCCAAAUUUUGUUGCAUUCAACUGUUAUGAGAGAUUUCUUGAUGAGAACAUCUAGUCCAAUAUCCGGAUAAUACCCACAGCCAUCCAGUAUUUUUGUUACAAAAUCUCUAUCCCACCUGUUAAAGAAAUGUGCGAUCUCUAGAAAUAUUUUUUUCUCAAUUUCUGAUAAUCCAUCAAAGCUUAUUUGAAGACAAUUGUGAAUUCUAUUGUCAGGUUCACUUUUAAGUCUACCUAUAGCGCUCCUCCAUUGAGCUGCACCUCUAGCACAAAGAAAAGAGCCCAAAACUUCAAGAGCUAGUGGAUGGCCACCAGCAUAUUCCACAACAGUUUUACAUAGCGAUAUGAAAUCAUUUUCCAAUGCAUCACUAUUGAAAGCUUUCAAACUUAAGAGCUGUAGGGAUUCGGAUUCAUCCAAUGUUGUAGGCUUAUACACAUCAUCCACUCCGUAGACUCGCAACAGAUGCUCAUCUCUAGUUGUUAUGAUGAUUCUACUCCCUAAACCAAACCAAUCACGCUUUUCAGCCAGCCAUUUGAAAUGUUGAAUGUUUUCCGCAUCAUCAAUAACAACAAGAACAUUUUUAUGACGUAACCUACGACUUAUAAUUUCAAUUCCGUCAUAAACACUAGAAACUUUGAACUCUUCUCUAGGAAAAAUCUUAGAAAGAAGCUGUUCUUGUAAAGAAACAAGUCCAGAUUUCAUUGCAACUUCUCGAACACCAGCAAGAAAGCAUUUACCUUCAAAAUAACCAGACAUUUGGGUAUAAACAACACUUGCAAGAGUUGUUUUACCAAUGCCACCCAUUUCACAAAUUCCUACAAUGCGAAUAUCACGAUCUUCCUCAAAAUCUAUUUUAUCAUACAGCUCAUCCAAACGUGAAUGAAUUCCAAUUAAGUCAUUAGGAACACUUGAACGUGCUUGAUAUACCUUUGUUGAUAUCUUUUUAACGACUCCUCCAAUGAAUUCUGAUUCAUACCUAUAAACUCAAAAAGUCAAAUAAACAUUAUCAAUGAGAAAGCAUAAAUUACUAUUUGAUUUAUAUUCUACUAGAAUUUUGUAUGGCGCAUGUUUGUUGAGGUUACAAGUUUUUUUUAUUUAUAUAUACUAACAUCAAUAUAUCAUUAAAUUAUUCACAACAUUAUUUACUUAUUAGUAAUUAACAUUAAUUAAAUAUUAUUAUUUUUUAUUCAUAUUAAUCAUAAUAUUAUUGAUAAACCAAUUAAAUUUUUUAUUUUUAGAUAUAACUAAUUGAAUAAAAUGUAAUGUAAAAAACAAAAUUAGCUUUUAACUAUUGUAGAUAAGAUGUUUAUGUAUCUCCCUAUCAAAAAAUUGAUUUCUAAUUUGCAGUUUGAAAACAAUUAAAUAUGAAUUAGAGCCUGUUUGGUCUAGGUUUAUAUAUAUAUAUAUAUAUAUAAACAAUUAGGAUGCUUCAUACAAAGCAUCUCGCCACUUUUGCGUCUUGCUUUGAUUAUAUCUUUUUUCAGGUUCAGCAAAGGCUUUUUCAACGCUCCCUUUCUGUCUUCGUAGCUCACGUGGCUCGACAUCAUAGAAAAUAGGAAAAACUUUAUGUUUCCUCUCUUUUCGCUGUUUAAGAAUCUCAACAAGCUCAUCUAGGCACCACCUUGAAAAAGCAUACAUUUUUUAAAAAACGAUUAUUGAGCACCAUGAUUCUCUAAUUGCUUUAAGGAGCUCUGGUGCAAAGUUUUGGCCCUUCUCAAGCCUUUGGUCAUCCCUGAAAGUGAUGAUUCCUCUCUCAAUCAAACAAGAAUUUAGAUGGUCCGUAAAGCCCUUGCGGGUAUCUUCACCGUGAAAGCUCAAGAAAACAUUAUAUUUCCAUUGAGAAGAAGAUAGAGAUGAAGAUGAUGAGGAGGAGGAGGAUGGCGUGCCGAUGGUCAUAGUUGGAUAGAGGAAGAAGAAGGGAAGAUAGUGCCCGUUUCCUUAAGGUGCAGGAGGAGAUAUCUCUAUAACUUGCAGGGUUGACUUCUCUUUUUCCUCUCUAUUUACAUGAUGUGCCGUGGCCGGAUGGUGUCUUAAUAGCUGAUUGUUGCGAGGUAACUGCCCCUUUUUUUUUAAUAAUGGUGUCUCAUGUGGCUAUGGUGGUGCGUGAUAGCUGUGCUGAUAAGCAUUACAGUCCGUUUCAAGUUUUAACUAUCUCCAGUUGGUUCUUUCCAGGAUAUUGUAUCUUUCUUCUGAUACAUACUAAUAUAUCAGUCCUGAUUGAGCUAAAAAGACAAAAACAAAAUAAAAAUAAAAUCCGUAGCCGCCCAUGUUGCUGAAUUGUAUAUAACUUAAGCAAUCUUACCUAUAUAUUAUGUUUCUCUAGUUUACUGAAAACAAGGUCAGGCAUUCAGUGAUAAGAUAUGUCAUUGCUUCCUUUAAUAUUAUGUGGUAGUGAGUGCUUUGUAGGGGAACCCUUCAAUCAAUGGCGUUGGAGUUGGCGCUGUGCUACCGUAGCAAACUCUUCUUAAAAUUAAGAUUGAGAGAAUUUUGUUUCUUCCGCCGAUCAGAAGUGAACCUAAUCUUUCCCUGAAGUUACUGCAAAUAAAAUCCUCCAUGGUUGAAAUUAAAGGCUUUUCAAAAAUACAUAAAGAUAAAGAAUGACUAUUAAUAUCUUUGCUAAACUUCAAACUUCCUGUUAGGAUAGUCUUGAAUUGUGAUUUAAUUAGGGUUGUUUAAUUCUAAUUAAAUUAGUAUACCAUAUAAAAUAGUCUUUAAAUCUAAUUAUAUUAAAAUAACAAUUCCUAAUUAUAUUAAGAUAAGAUUCCUAAUUAUAUUAGGAUAAGAUUCCUAAUUAAAUUAGGAUAAGGUUAUUGUAUUUGAUAUUAUAAAAGGACCCUAUGGGUUAAAGAAUAAUUAUCACCUAGAUUUAGAGAGAGAGAUUUAGGUGUACGUGGGAUAAGGAUUAUGAGUUUGAGACUGUUUUUGUAAUCUCCUGAUUUUUCUCUUAGUGAAUUUUUCUCUGUUGUUAUGCCCGUGGACGUAGGUCAUCAAAAGACCGAACCACGUAAAUUCUUGUGUCCUUGUGGGUGUACUUGAUUUUUUUCUUUCUUUCUUCAUUCUAUUGAUUGGGUUCUUGGGCAAUUCUUUAGAGACAAUUCCGCAAUUUCCCAACAAACUGGUAUCAGAGCUUCAAGGUCUUGGAUCAAUCUGAAUCUCGCUAUGGCAACUUCGUCGACCAAGUAUGAGAUUGAAAAGUUUAAUGGAAGAAACGAUUUCAGCCUGUGGCGUGUUAAGAUGCGCGCAUUGCUAGUGCAACAAGGACUGUUGAAGGCACUGAAGGGAAAAGAGCAUCUUCCCUCGAAUUUAUCUGAUGGUGAGAAAGAUGACCUUAUGGAAAAAGCACAUAGUGCUAUUCUCCUUGCUUUGUCUGAUGAGGUGCUAAGAGAAGUCACGGAUGAAGAAUCUGCUGCUGCAGUGUGGUUUAAACUCGAAAGUAUUUAUAUGACCAAGUCCCUGACGAAUCGGCUUUAUAUGAAGCAACGAUUGUAUACUCUCAAGAUGAGUGAAGGUACGUCCGUUAAUACCCACAUUGAUGAAUUUAAUAGAGUUAUUCUUGAUUUAAAGAAUAUCGAUGUUAAAAUUGAGGAUGAGGACCUAGCCCUAAUUCUUUUAUGUUCUUUGCCUCCAUCGUAUGAAAAUUUCGUGGAUACUAUGCUUUACGGCCGAGACACUCUCACUUUCGAGGAUGUAAGGGCAUCUUUAAAUUCCAAGGAAUUAAAGAAGAAAGUUGGUGGUAUUCGGAAUGAAAAUCAAGCAGAAGGUUUGGUUGUAAAUAGAGGUAGAGGUAAAGAGAAAGGCUUAGACAGAAAAGGUAAAUCUAGAGCAAAAGGGAAAACUUGCUGGAAUUGUGGUCAGAAAGGGCAUUUUCGUCAAGACUGUAUCAAAUUCAAGGAUGAUGAAAAGUUUAAUAAGUCUGAGAAUACUGCAAACGUGGUUGGAGAUGACUUUGAUACUUUUGAGGAAACUGAUAAUGUUCUUGCAAUUACUAAUUGUAACCUGAUGGAUACAUGGAUCUUGGAUUCGGCUUGUUGCUUUCAUAUAUGUCCUAGGCGUGAUUGGUUUACAACUUAUCAAUCUGUUAAUAUGGGCACUGUACAAUUAGGAGAUGAUUUCUCUCUCUCAGUUGUUGGAAUUGGCACAAUUAGAAUCAAGAUGUUUGAUGGUAUGGUAAGAACACUUGAGGUAAAACAUGUCCCUGACAUGAAAAAGAAUUUAAUAUCCUUGAGUUUGUUAGAUAAGAAGGGCUACAAAUAUAGUGGCCAAGAUGGUGUCUUGAAUGUAUCUAAAGGAGCCUUAACUAUCAUGAAGGGCAAGUUAUCCGGUGACCUUUAUUGUCUAGUGGGAAACACGGUCAUUGAAACUGUUUCUGUGGUCUCAUCUAAUGAUCCUGAAGAUGAUGUAACACGUUUAUGGAAUAUGAGAUUUGGUCAUAUGAGCGAGAGAGGGAUUAGAAAACUAAGUAAGCAUAGUUUGCUGUGUGGUCAAAAGAGUGGAAAGCUAGAUUUCUGUGAGCAACAUAGAGUGAAAUUUAGCACUAAAACUCAUCAAACCAGGGGUACAGUAAACUACAUCUAUUUAGAUUUGUGGGAUCCUUCUCCGGUGGUAUCAAAAGGUGGAUCAUUAUACAUGUGGAUCUUUAUUGAUGAUUUUUCAAGAAAGGUGUGGACGUAUCUUCUAAAGGCUAUGAGUGAAGUGUUAACCACCUUUUUGCAUUGGAAGGUAUUGAUCGAGAAGCAGACUAAGAAAAGGAUCGAGAGCUUUCGAACAAACAAAGGUUUGAAAUUUUGCAAAGGUGAGUUUGGUCUAUUCUACAAGAAUGAGAAAAUCGUUAGACAUCGCACUGUCGACAAAACACCAUAUCAAAACGAUAUUGUAGAAUUGAUGAAGAAAACACUUUUGGAGAGAGCAAAAUACGUGUUCUCAAAUGUUGGCCUAACCAAAGUAUUUUGGACAGAAGCUAUCAACAAGGCUUGUUACUUGGUAAAUCGGUCUCCAUCAACUGCAAUUGAAUUUAAGACUCCCAAGGAAGUUUGGUCUGGUAAGCCUGCUGAUUAUUUUAUAUUGAGAGUAUUUGGUUGUCCUGUUCAUGUUCAUGUGAGUGAUGGUAAACUUGAGUUGAGGGCGACAGAGUGCAUAUUCCUAGGCUAUGCAUAUGGGGUGAAGGGUUAUUGGUUGUGGUGUACUGAUUGUAAGUUCCCCAAGUUUAUGGUGAGUCGGGAUGUUACCUUUGACAAGUCUGCAUUACUUUGUGGGAUAAAGUCUAGAAUUGCAAACACAUCAGACCAAGAAGUUGGCAAGCAGGUGGAGCUUGAAAUCAAUGCUCUUGUGACAGUGCGAGAUGAUAGUGAAAUCCAGAAAGAAUUGCAAGAGGUACAAGAAUUGGUAUCUCAACGAAGCAUUACUUGUAUUGAUGGUGAUUUUGAUUCUUAUGUUUUAUUUGUGGAAGUAGAGAUUGAAGAGCCUUACUUUUAUCAUGAGAAAAUUAUAUAUGUCGAGUCUUCUAAGAAGAUUGAGUCUCUACACUGGGAUCAAACAUGGGAGCUUGUGAAAACACCUAAAGUUACUAUUGAAGUUGGCUUAGUGUGUGAAGGAGGUGCAAACAUUAGUCGUAAUGUGGUUGGCUUCUCCAAAUCAGAUUUUGCUGGUGAUCUAGAUAGUAGAAGAUCUCAAACGGGGUAUGUGUUCACUCUCUCAGGAUCUGCAAUCAGUUGGAAAGCAGUUCUUCAAUCAACCUUUGCUUUGUCUACAACUGAAGCUGAAUAUAUGGCUGUGACCGAGGCAGUGAAGGAGGCUUUGUGGCUUAAAGGCUUGGUUAGUGAUCUUGGUUUUGAACAAACACAAACAGUUGUGUUUUGUGAUAGUCAAAGUGCUAUACAUUUGACUAAAAAUCAGAUGUUUCAUGAGAGAACCAAACACAUCCAAGUCAAGUGUAACUUCGUUCGAGAGAUUAUUUCUAAAGGUGAGAUUGUAGUAAAGAAAAUAGCUACAGAUGAAAAUCCGGCAGAUAUGCUAACUAAGUCAGUUUCUGGGAUAAAGUUCAAGCAUUGCUUGGACUUGAUCGGUGUUCGUAGUGCUUGAGGCCCAUUGGGGCAGUGGCGGUGUCGACAGAGAUUGGUUCGUAAGGUGGAGCUUGGUGAAUUCAAGCCUAAGGUGGAGAUUUGUUAGGAUAGUCUUGAAUUGUGAUUUAAUUAGGAUUGUUUAAUUCUAAUUAAAUUAGUAUACCUUAUAAAUAGUCUUUAAAUCUAGUUAGAUUAGAAUAACAAUUUCUAAUUCUAUUAGGAUAAGAUUCCUAAUUAAAUUAGGAUAAGGUUAUUGUAUUUGAUACUAUAAAAGGACCCUAUGGGUUAAAGAAUAAUUAUCACCUAGAUUUAGAGAGAGAGAUUUAGGUGUACGUGGGAUAAGGGUUAUGAGUUUGAGACUGUUCUUGUAAUCUCCUGAUUUUUCUUUUAGUGAAUUUUUCUCUGUUGUUGUGCCCGUGGACGUAGGGCAUCAAAAGAUCAAACCACGUAAAUUCUUGUGUUCUUGUGGGUGUGCUUGAUUUCUUUCUUUCUUUAUUCUAUUGAUUGGGUUAGAUCUUGGGCAAUUCUUUAGAGACAAUCCGCAAUUCCAACACUUCCAUUAUAAAAAAUGAAACUACGUGAGGGAGGCGGAGACAGUAACGCUUCCCUUUCCACAUUCUGAUAGUUUCAAAAUCUUGAUGGGACAGCUUGACAGGUUCUAGACAUUAGAGUAAGAGAGGGCUAUUUGAGUUGAAUUUUGGUGGCUCCCCUUGUAGCCGUUGGGUGCGGGAGGGAUUUGCCUAUAAAUAGAGCAUUUAAGACUCAUUGUAAAGUUUGGUUACGCACUUGUAAAUCUCUUGCAAUUGUGAAUAGAAUACACAAACCUUUGCCUUAUUGACUCUCGUGCUUUGGAUAUUCUCAUGUGUUGGUAAGUGGCUGUGCAUAUUGGUGCUUUGAUAAGUGCAUUUGUGGCAUAUUGGCUUCUGCUGCUUAUUGUGUUAGUGUUUAAGGUUGAACUUAGGGAACCAACACAUGUAGUGUGUCCUAAAUUCGCACGGUGUGAGCCCCUAAAGUAGUCCACCUUUGACAAGUGGUAUCAAAGUUCAAAUCUCAAGGCACGUUGUAUGCAUUAGAAAGUUGGUUGUCCAAGGUGGGAGUGGUCGUGUGUGAGUUGAGGGAGAAAAUGAAGGAUUAUGCGGAGAUGAGCUGGAAAGGAGCUUCAAAAGGCCUUGAAGGAGAUCAUGGAUCAUGGAUCCUAAAGGAGUACGACUUUGGAGGAAAUAUUUGGGGUGAUGAGGCAAGAAAUGCAAGAGAUGAAGGUAUGGCCAAGCUAUGGCCUUUGCCUAGCUUUAGUGCUUUUAUUAUAUCAAAUUAAAACACAUAAACACGUACCAAAAAAUAUAAACAAGUAUCAAAAAAAUAAAAAUACAAAAAAAAACGAAUUACCAUUAAAACUCAAGAAAACAUCAUAUUUUCAUUGAAAAGAAGAUGCAGAUGAUGGGGAGGAAGUGAAGAUAGUACCAUCAUUUUCCAUGAGGAGAAGGAGAAGGGGGAGCGGGAUAGCAAAGGAAUCAAUUUGGACAAUAAAUAAUGUUCAGUAAAAACAUGGUGAAUGGAAUAAAAUGAAAAGCAAAUUGACUUGACUGACUUUCCUAUUUCAAUUUCACAACAUUGACGUGGGUACGUCCUUAUCACAUAGGACCUACUCUUACGUGUUUUGGACGUGAAGUUACUUACGGGUCAAUUGGAGUGCAUCUUUUUCUACAUAUCCUCAUCUUUAUCGUGGAUUUUUGAGUGAUGGAAGAUGAAUAAGUUUGACCAAGGAAGAUCGUGCAAACUGCUUUCAAAUUUUUUAUCGCAUAUUAUGAUAAAAUUUGAUAUUUCAUAUUUGACACUAAAAAAUAAUAUUUCAAUAUGUCAAUUUAAUAACAGCCAAAAUACGUACUAAGUCUUAUUCUUAUGUAUUUUGCUCAAUUUAGUCUUUAUACUUAAAAUUAAAGCAAUUUAAUUUUUUGAUUUUGAGAAUUACUUCAAUUUAAUCUCUCCCUCUAAUAACAUCUAAUUUUACCGUUAAAAAGUUAACAUCAGUACUGACGUGUAGCCAAAGCCACCGUAAAAAAUGCACCCUCUUUUUGUUGGGAUGGUAACAUUUUCUUGAGUUUUAUUCUAAUGAUAAAGACUUAUUCUUGGAAAUUGUGUGUAUGCCCAUCUUUGAGCUUUGGAAAAAUUAGGCCAAACACAAAUAUUUUCUUUUUGAAUGGCAAGACAAUGUUAUUACUCAAAGCUGGAGAGAGCAAAUACAUAGGAGGAACUGUAAGGGCCAGUUCCUGAAAUGGAAGGUUUAAAGAGCAUAGCAUUGAAGCAAAAGAAAACAAUCCUACAAAAGAUGCCACUCUACUAAAAAACAAACAAAAUGGAGAAAGAAUCAGCAUGAGAAACGCAUGCGGGAAGAAAAACUCAGCAUGAUAAACAGGGGGUUCCAUAAAUAGCCCACAGUGAAACACAUCAAGGCAGAAUCAUAAUAUAUGGCAAAGCAUUUUGAGAGUCCGUGUAGAUUAGAACAGACCCGAGAAGUGAUCAGACCUGAUAAUCCCAGAUUGACCAAGACCAUCAGCUAAGCUGUUAGCUUCUCUAUUGAUGUGGACAAAGGAUAAAUUUCUGAUGUUAGUUUUAAGAGCUUCGAUGGAAUUAAACAAGUUCUUCAUGUUCUAAGGGACUGAGUUUAGGGUGUUUAUUAGUUAUGGAAGAUGAAUACGUUGAAGAAGAAGAAGAUGAAGAAUUAGUUUUGAUGUUUAGGGUCACGAGUAGUUUAGUAAUUCAAUUACAUUUUUGACAUUUUGACCUAGGAUAUUUAUUUGAAAUUUAAUGAAUUCGAUUAAUAUCUGAUUUUGCAUUUUGAUUGAAUUGAUUAUUAUUAGUGAUUUAUCGUACCAUGAAUAAUGUUAAAAGGUAAAUCAUGUAUAAUAUUUAUUAAAGUAAAAUAACAUAAUAUGUUUAAAAGUAGGUAUCUAGUUAUUUUUAUUGUUAAUUAUUAUUAUAGUUUAUGAUUUUUUUCAAGUUAUUAUUUAUUUUAUUAUUUGGUAACUGGUAAGGAUAAAGAAUAAAGAGUAAAUGGAAAUAAAAUAUUAUAAUAUAAUAUAUAUAUAUAUAUAUAUAUAUUUGCACAGCUAAAAGAAAUGAUUUGUACUAAUGAUAAUUAGAUGUACAAAAUGUUUUAUAUAUAAUCAUAAAAAUUGAAUUUAAUUAUAAUAAUCAAAAGAAUAUACAUUUUUUUGUUUCAUAAGUACUGUUUUGUUUGCCUGUCUUUGGUUGCUUUAAAUUUAUAAAGAUCAUUUGGCUUACAUGACGUAAUUAAUUUGUUAAAAAACAAUUAUCUUUACAUGAUCUACAGAUGCAAAUUCAUUAACAUUGUCCUUAAAUAAGUUGAUAAAAGUCUUAUAAAAAUAUAAGUUGAUAAAAAUUAUAAAUAAGUUGACAAAAUUACGAUAUGCUAGAACAAUAGAAAUUGAUGUUGAUUUAGCCAAUAACAGUUAGAACGAUGGCUUCACCUCCUGUCCUCCUUUCCUCUACUUCCCUAUCUCCCCAAAUCCCCUUCUCACUCUCUUUAAUUUUUUUUUCUUGUUUUUUUAAAAAAAAUUUGUCAUUAUCAAGAUUUUUAAUUUUUUAGAAGUAUUAUUUUAAUAUUAAAAAUAAAAACGUUAGAACGAAAACAACAGAUAAAAACAGAAAGAUGAUUAAAAAGAGUAUAAAGUUGUGGGGACAAAGAAUUAAAAAGAGUUGCAAUUACCUGUUAAUCCAUCAGUAGUAUGUUGACGGAUAUGAUGAAAAUUUGGUGAAGUUGGAGUGCUAGGCUACUCUAUUGUUGGGACAAAGAAUUAAAAACAGUAGUAUGUUAAUCCAUCAGUAGUAUCUUAACACCGUAAUGAUCUGGAAAUGAUAAAUCUAUUUUUAAAAAAAAAAAGCACUCUAAUGGGUAUAAUAAAUCAUCUCAUCUUAUUAUUAUACAUAUAUAACUAAAUAUAAUGACUGAACAUACAAGAAAUUUUUUAAUCACUAUACAAUGGGGGAACAUACUCGCCAUCAAUUUAUUGAUUUCAUAUGCUAAAAUGGCCUAUCAUAUGAUUUACUAUGAGUAAAAUUCAACCAUCUUAACACGAUUAUCUUCGAUUAAUUAUUAGCUAUGAGGAUCUUAUCAGUAAAUAAUAUAUGAAUAAGAAUUUGAAACUAUUAAUAUUUUUAGUCACCUUCAGAUUUUUGGUCACUUUCCACUGAUGUUACUCAUUUUGGAGGAGGGUUUUGGGAGCGGGGUGUAUUAGGUAACCUUAUAAUAAUGCCGCAGAUAGAUACGAAAGAUAGAGUACAUUUUAUAUAUGGUGGGGCAUUUAUCUAUUUAGAGAAAACUAUUUCAGAAAGGUAAUUUCAUCAUUUAAUGUCUUAUACUCAUGGUGAUUGCUUGUUAAAAUUGUGAUUUUGCUAUGGUUUAAUUUUCUCAGACGGUGAGAUUCUUCUAUCGGCUUUGGAGCACCUGUCCCUGCAAAUAUGAGGAGCGGUGACUUCACUACUGCUGCAGUUACAUCAUCAUUGUAGGAAUCUAAGAGAAUCAAAACUCAAGAUGGCUUAGGGAACUGUAUAUUUUUCCAUUGCCAUUUUCAUAUUUGUUUGGAGGAAAAUUCCAGCUUCAUUGUAUAUUUCUCUUAAAAAAGUAUUUUCUUCACUAUAUCAGAAAUGUAACCUAAUGCUUGACCCCGCAGGUUGAAAGUGAUGAUCUUAUUGCAUAUGGAUUGAUUCCUGAAUUUAUUGGGCGCUUUCCUAUUUUACUUAGCUUAUCUGGUUUAAAUAUAUUUUAGUUUCCUAUUGUCUUCACUAUAUAUUGUUCUGAACAGGGUCUUUACCUUUGAUGUUAUAUUAUAUAGUUGUCGAGUGAUGUUAAAAAGUUCAAAAUAAUAAAUCUGUGAUUAAAUUGAAAAGUUUGAAUUUCAUUAAAUAAAAUCUGCUAAGACUUGGGGUGGUUAAUUUUUUUUUUUUGAGAGAGAAACAUGAUUUCAUAGAGUGUUCUAACUUGUAAGAGGGUAAUAAUUCAGAUGGAGUUAAACAAUUUUCAAUAUCAUGUGGUGCAUGGAUUACAAUACAUAUACAUUUAAAUUUCUAUAAAUUAAUAUCUCUAGGACCAUAAAAUUUAUUAAUUUAUCGAAAUCUUUUGGAGGGUUAUAAAUUGGGAUCCUACAUCCAGAGAAGAUAAAUGUUUUAAAUGUAAUAAAUCUUGUAAUCUCAGCUUGGACAAAAGAUGUUCAAGUACAAUUGCAAAUUGUUUUCAACCUUGUAAAAUUAAGUCUAUGGAUAACGUGGCUUAAGAGAAUUUGGAUCAACACUUGGAUGAUAAAGGCAUUCAACAAUUGCAAGUUCUAAUCAAAAAGUUGAAGUAUUGUGAUAUAAUGGAUGUUAAGUACCUUUGAACUACCCAAGAGAAAAUGAGGCAACUUCAGAGUUGUUAAGUGACUGAGCAACUUAUUGAGAAUGUCAUGAGAUAUGACAAAGAAGAUGAAGUUAAAGAUAAAAGUUCUGUACUGGAGCCUAUCUCACACAAAGAUGCACUAAAAGUAACAAUCACAUUGUAUAAUUUCUCUUGCAAUAUGAGAACAUUACACCAAAACUUUUUUAAUGCACUAAGAAAAGUUAAAGAUGAAGUUCAAAGAGACAUCACUUUCAAAAGGAAACAAGUAACAUUAGAGUCAUAUUUUACAAAAGCAUCCUAAUUGAGUCAUGUAUAUAUAUAAUUUUGAUGUGUAAGGAGAGUAUUAAUUUAUAUAUGUGUUUUCUUAAAAUGUAUUAUCUUAUAAAUUUAAUGAAUUAUUAAUUUAUCACAUUGGUCCCAAGUAGAGACAGAUCAAAAAUAUUAUUUAAUUAAGAUGAUUAAUUUAUCAAGUAUUAAUUUAUAGAAUUUAUACUAUACAUAUUAAUUUAUAGAAUUUAUACUAUACAUUUUAAUGAGGUGUCAUUGAAGCAUAUGUUAAAUUGUGUUGGUUUUAUGUAUAUGCAGUUUGAAUUUCAUCUAUUACACUACAAGUAUUGAAACUGUUCUGCUUUCAAAAGAUGGAGGGAAAAAGAAGAAAAAAGAAAGAUUGAAGUUUGAAUUUUGUUCUUCUAUCUAAAUUUCAUAGUUUUAGUCCUUUUAUCUCAAUUCUGAAGAAUUUAGCUUAUGUAUUAUUAUUAAAACUCGAUUUUAAUACAAUUGAUGACAAUGUUAAUGUCACGACCCGAAACUCCCCUCGAGCUCGUGACAACCGCCGCGGUAUCCCGAUAGGCAUUCAUCUCUCGGAAUGCUAAGUAGAAUCCCGCAAGGCUUAAUAUCAGUUUCUCAUUUUCCCCGAUGAGUAACUAUUGCCAAAUAUUAUGUUCUAAAGGAUUUUGAGCUAUUUCCAACUUAAAACUGAUAAAAUAAAAACUUUUGUCUAACAGGGGCAUUUUGGUCAUUUUCCACUAAAAAUUUCGAAACCAGUUAAAAUUAUAGUAAACGCGUACCAAUCGCAUAAUUCACAAUUAAAAAUAAGUUUAGGCAUCUAAAACCUUUAUUUAAAAUGAAAUUAUAAUUAUUUGAAUAUAAUAAGAAGAUAAAACGAAAUAUUCAAUAAAAUAUUUUAUUCUCUCAUAAACAGAAAUUUUAGAGUUAUGCGAAGAUACUUUUUGUAAAGCCCGAUCUUAUAAAAUACUAGUCAUUACAUACAUAUGAUGAUAGCAUGAUUGCAUGCUAGGAGAGUCCCGAAAAAUUUACAAAAGUCGGUAUUAUACCUAGAGGUACAACAAAGUUGAUUUAAUCCUCGAACUAAAUCAAAUAGGAAUUUUAAGGUGAGAUUAAGAGCGUCACAGUCCGAAGAUGACUUAAAAUGGUAAUUCGGAGUUCGAGAAUCAAUUUGGAGUCAAAUCAGAAUUUUCACUAUCUAGGGGCAAAAUGGUCAUUUGCCACUUGGGGACAAAAUGAGAAUUUUGGAAAAGAUUUUUUUGGCCUCAUUUGACUUAUUGGAGUAUAAUUUGACUUACUGGAGUAUGAUUUGAGGUUUAGAAGUGGAAAAUUGUAAUUUCGGUAUAAUUCAGAGUAUAGGGGUAAAAAGGUAGUUUUGCCACUCUAUGGGUAAAAUUGUAAUUUUCCACCACCAGGAUAUUUUUUCCAGCACAUGGUCUUCCUUUAUUCUGAUUUUUCACCUUUGACUAAUCAUGUGGUGGAGAUAAAAUGUUUAAAUUUUUACAAUUUUAAAAAUAGACCAAUUAAAAAAUGUCAUGUGUCAAGCUUAGGAUAUUUUAUUAUUUAACUUAAAAAUCAGCAUAAAUCAGCCCAUUAUUCUCCAAAUAUUCGGCCAAGCAAGGAAGAGAGGGAAAGAAAGGAAAAACAAACCCUAGGUGAGGAAUUUCAAGAGAAAAAGUGUGGAAAAUCANNNNNNNNNNNNNNNNNNNNNNNNNNNNNNNNNNNNNNNNNNNNNNNNNNNNNNNNNNNNNNNNNNNNNNNNNNNNNNNNNNNNNNNNNNNNNNNNNNNNNNNNNNNNNNNNNNNNNNNNNNNNNNNNNNNNNNNNNNNNNNNNNNNNNNNNNNNNNNNNNNNNNNNNNNNNNNNNNNNNNNNNNNNNNNNNNNNNNNNNNNNNNNNNNNNNNNNNNNNNNNNNNNNNNNNNNNNNNNNNNNNNNNNNNNNNNNNNNNNNNNNNNNNNNNNNNNNNNNNNNNNNNNNNNNNNNNNNNNNNNNNNNNNNNNNNNNNNNNNNNNNNNNNNNNNNNNNNNNNNNNNNNNNNNNNNNNNNNNNNNNNNNNNNNNNNNNNNNNNNNNNNNNNNNNNNNNNNNNNNNNNNNNNNNNNNNNNNNNNNNNNNNNNNNNNNNNNNNNNNNNNNNNNNNNNNNNNNNNNNNNNNNNNNNNNNNNNNNNNNNNNNNNNNNNNNNNNNNNNNNNNNNNNNNNNNNNNNNNNNNNNNNNNNNNNNNNNNNNNNNNNNNNNNNNNNNNNNNNNNNNNNNNNNNNNNNNNNNNNNNNNNNNNNNNNNNNNNNNNNNNNNNNNNNNNNNNNNNNNNNNNNNNNNNNNNNNNNNNNNNNNNNNNNNNNNNNNNNNNNNNNNNNNNNNNNNNNNNNNNNNNNNNNNNNNNNNNNNNNNNNNNNNNNNNNNNNNNNNNNNNNNNNNNNNNNNNNNNNNNNNNNNNNNNNNNNNNNNNNNNNNNNNNNNNNNNNNNNNNNNNNNNNNNNNNNNNNNNNNNNNNNNNNNNNNNNNNNNNNNNNNNNNNNNNNNNNNNNNNNNNNNNNNNNNNNNNNNNNNNNNNNNNNNNNNNNNNNNNNNNNNNNNNNNNNNNNNNNNNNNNNNNNNNNNNNNNNNNNNNNNNNNNNNNNNNNNNNNNNNNNNNNNNNNNNNNGAGAGAAAGAAAGAAAGAAAGAAAGAAAAGAAAAGAAAGGAAAAGAAAAUAACAAGGAAAAUGGGCAUGGCCCAACAAGCAAGAAAAAUAGACAUGGUCCAAUAAACGAAAAAUGGACAUGGUCCAAUUAAAAAGAAAUGGGAGAAGUCCAUAAACAAGAGUCCAAAAACACCAAAUGAAGAAAAAUUCAAAAAAAAAUGGAAGGUGGAGAUUUGGGCCAACCUAGCUUAAUUGGGUAAAAUUUCUUUACUCUUCAUCAUGAUUUAUUUUGAAAUUGGAUUGUAUGGAGGCUAAAUUAUUUUAUUUAAUUAUGCAUUGGUUAAUUGGUGAUAUGAAGUAAAUUUAAGUUGCUUAGAAGGUUGAAAUAGGCACUUAAUACCGUAAAUAAGUUACCGGUGUUAAUACUCUAAAGAAUUACGUGAACGAAUGAUGCAAUUAAUUAUAGUAAAAAUAUAUUAAGAUGUGAAUUAGGUGAGUGGAUUUAUGAUACAAUGAGAGAGAGAAAAGUAGAAUUGAUUCACUAAAUGUAUUGAAUUUAAAUGGUUGCUAGGAAAGCGUGUUGAACGAAGUAGGUGACGGGCAAUUAGGUAUAAUUAUACGAGUAUACGAAGCAAUAGCGACGUAGAAAUCCUGCUAUUGUGAGGUGAGUAACCUUACCAUCAUUUUCAUUAUCUAAAGUAUGUUUUUGAUCAAUUUUGGUGAAAUUUUAUGAAAAUGAGUUUAAAUGGUAAAUCUUGAGUUUUACAAACAAAAUGUAUCUACAUGAAAAGAUUUUAUAAAUUAUUUUAAAAUUGAAUGAUGAUUUUGAAAAAUGGAGUAAUUGGAGACCACUUGUUAUGAAUUAAAUUUAUGAUUGGAAUCGAAUGGCUUAUGACAGUAUUUGCAUGAAUGGCUGAAUUGAUAUUUGUGUUGAAAUAUAUGAAAUAUAUAUUUAGCCUUGAAAGGCUGUGAAUUGCAAUAAUAACCAUAUCAUGUUAUCGAAUUUUAUUGUAUGGUGGGAUAAUUAUUAGCUUACUGCAGUAGGUGAGUUCCGUGAACCAGUCUAUGAGAAAGGCAUGGAAACCCCGUUUAUAUGUGCUCACCUCCGUUGUAAAGGCGCUUAGGGUAGCUCCUGAGGUGAUAUUUGAGUUCACUUCACGCCAAACCACCACGUGAAGGGGAACUCAGCCAACGCCAAGGAACGGUUGUGUUUUCUCAAACUAUAAAUAUGUUUUACGUGUAUAUGAAAUUUUUAACAGCCUUGGCGGGCUCGAGUAUACACCUCUGAUCAAGGUGUCAUCGAGUACUAUUUGAUGGCAUGAGCCAAAUGUUUAUGAAAGUCAUAAGCCUUAAUGAGAAAUUAAAUGAAAUACAACCGUUUGCAUGGGUUGGGAUGAAUUUUCAAAUUUGUAAAAUACGUAUUGUGAUGGGAUAUUUUAAUUGUCUCCUUUUACUCGGCUUUAGCUGAUUUAAAUGGUGUUUGUUUACUCAUUGAGAUUUUAUAAUCUCACCACCCUCGUUUCCACUCAUUUCAAGCUCAGAGUAAGCUGUAGAUAACUGAUUCCAUCGAGGGCUUCUAUUGGAUUAACGUCUUCCACACAGUAGGUUCACAGUUUUUUUAAUUCUUUUUAUUGUGGGCCCACUUGAUAUUGUAAAUUUAAUAGUUUAUUGUGCUACAAUAUGAUGAAUUUAUUUUGUUUUUACGUUUUAAAAAGUAUUACGUAUAACUUUAAAAUUACUGUUUAUAAGAAAAUAAAAUAUUUUAUUUUAUAUUUUGUUUUAUCUUCUUAUUAUAUUCAAAUAAUUAUAAUUUCAUUUUAAAUAAAGGUUUUAGAUGCCUAAACUUAUUUUUAAUUAUGAAUUAUGUGAUUGGUACUUGUUUACUACAUUUUUAACUGGUUUUGAAAUUUUCAGUGAAAAAUGACCAAAAUGCCCCUAUGAGACAAAAACAUUUAUUUUAUCAGUUUUAAGUUAGAAAUAGUUCAAUAUCCUUUAAAACAUAAUAUUUGGCAAUAUUUACUCACCGGGGAAAACGAGAAACUGAUAUUAAGCCUUGCGGGGUUCCGGUUGGCAUUUCGGGAGAUGAAUGCCCAUCGGGGCACCGUUGCGGUUGUCACGGGCUCGAGGGAAGUUUUGGGUCGUAACAGAUCAUAUUAAAGCAUAUAAAUAUAUAUAUAUAUAUAUAUAUACACACACACACACACACGAGUCACUCCAACACCACUACAUUCUAUCAUCACAUAUAAAAUAUUUCAGUUUGAAACAUUAUGACUGUAAUUAAAAAAACAUUACAAGAGCAAUAGCUUCACAGAAUGAGUAAACAAAAACAAUGUCUCCAAUAAAUUUCUUCAAGCUAUCAAUUUCAAAUAAAAUGUGUCACUUAUCUCAAAUAUAGACAGCAAAACUGAAAAUGGCAAGAAUUGGAUAUUGAAGAGUAACAACACAAUUGAAAUGCUAUUUUUAUUCACUUAGCAUACACAAUUUUAAACUUUGUAAACCAUAAGAGGGCACCAUAGGAUUUGAAUCCAACUUUUUAAAUAAAGAACACAAACACUUACCAAAAAAUGAAAUAUUCAAAUGCACAUUACAACACAACUUAGGUUUAAUUAAUACUACAUUCACGCAAGGCUAUUAAAGCGUGCACAACAUUGGCUAAAAUGCUAAUGGCAGAGAUGAGAGGAUCAAAACGAUAUCCGCAAAGGAUUUCACCUCAGUCCUGCUUUUAUGACCUUUUCAACCUAGAAAUAAAGAAGAAAGGAUAUAAAUGCAAAUUAAACUUAUAAGAAAUGAUCCUGGAUCUUACUUUUCGAGAUAAAAUAGAAUUAGUUAAAGUCCAAUUUUAGUCAUGUAUAAAAGUUGUGGGGACAAGGAAUUAUAAAGACUAGUGAUUACCUGUUGAUCCAUCAAUCGUAUCUUUAUUGUAUCUUUUUCUUUUCUUGCUAGGCUGUUCCACUAUUGGGUCCAAGUCCUCCAAAUCACUUGGAUACACUAAUCGAGCCCCACACUUGUUCACCUUGUUACCAAUGCCAGAGGUAUCGAAUAAAAACUCAAUUCCCAUACAACUCUGUAUCCAAUCUCUGCUCUGUAAAUUCCCAAAUUGGUCAUGAAGCAAAUAUUCAACAGGCAAAUACCAUAGCCAGAGGUGGUCCUUGGAGGUCUGGGUAUUAAAAGCUAUAGUAUCAGUACGUGACUCAACUGUAAGAUCUUCAAAAUGGAUUCUAGUAAUACAUGGAAUUUCUUCCUCCGUCCAAUCAACAUUAUUAGAGGCAGGCACAAGAACACAACACAAGGCAACUCCUAUCCACUGAAUAUCAUUCUGUAAAAUGGGUAUCAUUAUUGAACAUUUCUCACUCUGGUGACUAAACCAUUCAAAAAUUUCGCUUCCAGGUAUAACAAUGUCUAAACGUAUUCUUGCAUUCGCAUAUGUCUGCAAAACAAAACUCCGUUAUUGGGUAAUUAGUUGAGGAUUAAAUACACACUUUGCAAUAGAAUUAUGUUGAAAACUUUCAAUGCUUGAAGUUUGAAAUUCUUAGUUAGAUGCUCAAACUUUUAUUCAAUUAGUGGGUUUCGACAGUUUGAUUGAUACUGUUAGUCAAAUAGAUGACGUGAGCAAAGCAAGGAGUAAGAAUGCAUCACAUGUUUAAAAAAUAACAUCAUUUUACUUUUUCAUAGUUUUUGUAAAAAAUAGUUAUUUCAAAAAUUAAAAAUAAAAAAUUAAGAAAAAAAAAAGAAAAAUAUGUUUUGUGCUAAAAAACUUCACUUUUGAAAUUAAAAAUAUUUUUUUUUGAAAAUUUAAUAUAUUAAAAAAUUCUAAUUUUCUUAAAAAUUUUAUCUUUGAAAUUUAAAAUAAAAAAUUUUAAAAAUAUAUAAAACAAAUUAUUCUUGAAAUCAAAAAUAAAAAAUUUGGGGGGAAAGAGAGAAAAAGAGGGGGCAAAUUAGUGUCAAUCCAGCCAGCGAGAGCUACAUUGACGCCUUCCCUCUAUUUCGUCCCUCCCCUCUUUUUCCCUAUCUCCCUCAUCAAUCCCCCACUUUUCUCUCUCUCUCUGAGUUUUUUCCUUUUUUGUUUUUAUCUUAAUUUGUCAUUUUCCAGAUUUUUAAAAUUUUAUUUUAAUAUUAAAAAUAAAAAUAUAAAAAAAAAGACAAAAAAUAAAAACAAAAGAUGAUGUGUCACAUUAAUAUUUUUUAUUAGUUAUUUUUUUGUCACAUCAUUAAUUUAACUAACAUUUUUAAUUGAGUAUUUAAUUGUUAAUUUUUAAAUUUUGAGUAUGAAAUUGACAAUUUUACUGUAGUUCGGAUAACAAAUAUGUAAUUAAUCCAUUAAUUUACUACUAUAGAUUCUUGAAAGUGAGAGUAAGAGAGUUGGAGAAAUAUACCUUAAGAUAUCCCUUUAGCAUUCUUAGUGCAUUAUUGUUCGCAGCGAAUUUGAAGCAAUUAACACCAUAAAACCAUGUCACCCACGAUGGAUUAUGUGGAUUUGUCGGAUUUGGAACUCUUUGCAAUGAAGUGCAACCAUCUAACAUUAGGCCUUGUACACUUGAUGGAAGCUGAGGCAAUGUUUCAAGCUUACUACAACCCAUCAAUUGGAGACAAUAAAGCUUGGUAAGUUGACUAAGAUUCGCAGGUAGGCUGACGAAAUUGUUAUGACUAAGAAUCAGUUCUUCUAAUGAGGAUAAGCAACAUAUAUCACUAGGAAGAUCCCCUUCACAAAGAUUCAUGCCGCUUAUAUUCAACUCUCUUAAAGAACUCAAGCUUGAUAAACAAGGUAACGUCAGAGCCAUGAAAUUCGAACCUUUUUUUAAAAGCAUGGGAUUCAAACUUGAUAGUAGUACUUCGCAUCCCUUCUUAUAUAUCCUUUGUAGGAAGGAUGGUGGUGAAUUUUCAAGUACAGAGCAGCCCGAGAGAUUAAGAACUUUUAGGCUGCUGAGAUUUCCAACUGAAGAAGGAAGUUCUUCCAUGCUUGUGCCAUCUAAAUGGAGGUCCCGCAAAUGUUUCAUUUUCCCGGUAAUCUCUGAAAUCCUUUUAAGAUUCUUGCAGCCUGAAAGAAUCAAUGUUUCAAGAGACUCCAUUUCAUUAUUGAUUGAGAAACUCCUAAGACUUACACAGUUUUAAUUAAUACUACAUUCACGCAAGGCUAUUAAAGCGUGCACAACAUUGGCUAAAAUGCUAAUGGCAAAGAUGAGAAGAUCUUUGCUAAUGGCAAAGAUCAGUCAUGGGAAGUGUAUAGUGUCAGAUUUUUCUAGGUAGAUAUGAGAAAGAUUUGGGGAAUAUACCUGCUUUUUGUGCCCAGGUAUAGCCCACAAAUCACUGGUUCUUUACUGAUGUUUUUUGAAGGGGAUUAUUCCACCCUUCUUUGCAAUGAAACUACAAUCUUUCAAAAAAAAAUGAUAUCCGCAAAGGAUUUCACCUCAGUCCUGCUUUUAUGACCUUUUCAACCAAGAAAAUAAAUAAGAAAGGAUAUAAAUGCAAAUUAAACUUAUAAGAGAUGAUCCUGGAUCUUACUUUUUGAGAUAAAAUAGAAUUAGUUAAAGUCCAAUUUUAGUCAUGUAUAAAAGUUGUGGGAACAAGGAAUUAUAAGGACUAGUGAUUACCUGUUGAUCCAUCAAUCGUAUCUUUAUUGUAUCUUUUUCUUUUCUUGCUAGGCUGCUCCACUAUUGGGUCCAAGUCCUCCAAAUCACUUGGAUACACUAAUCGAGCCCCACACUUGUUCACCUUGUUACCCAUGCCAUCGAUAUCGAAUAAAAACUCGAUUCCAAUACAACUCUGUAUCCAAUCUCUGCUCUGCAAAUUCCCAAAUUGGUCAUGAAGCAAUUUUUCAACAGGCAAAUACCAUAGGCAGAGGUGGUCCUUGGAGGUCUGGGUAUUAAAACCUAUCCAAUGAGUACAUGACUUAAAUGUAAGAUCUUCAAAAUGGAUUGUAACACGACAUGUAAUGUCUUCUUCCGUCCAAUCAACAUUAUUGGAGGCGGGCACGACAACACAGCACAAGGCAAAUCCCAUCCACUGAACAUCAUUCUGUAAAAUGGGUAUCAUUAUUGAACAUUUCUCACUCUGGUGAUUAAACCAUUCAAAAAUUUCACUUCCAGGUAUAACGAUGUCAACACGUGUUCCUGCAUUCGCAAAUGUCUGCAAAACAAAAUCCCGUCAUUGGGUAAUUAGUUUAGGAUUAAAUACACAUUUUGCAAUAGAAUUAUGUUGAAAACUUUCAAUGCUUGAAGUUUGAAAUUCUUAAUUAGAUGCUCAAACUUUAGUUCAAUUAGUGGAUUUUGACAGUUUGAUUGAUACUGUUAGUCAAAUGGAUGACGUGAGCAAAGCAAGGAGUAAGAAUGCAUCAAAUGUCUAAAAAAUAACAUCAUUUUACUUUUUCAUAUUUUUUGUAAAAAUAGUUAUUUCAAAAAUUGAAAAUAAAAAAUUAGAAAAGAAAAUAAAAAUAUGUUUUUUGCUAAAAAACUUCACUUUUAAAAUUAAAAAUAAUUUUUUUGGAAAAUUCAAUAUAUUAAAAAAUUAUAAUUUUCUUAAAAAUGUUAUCUUUGAAAUUUAAAAUAAAAAAUUUUAAAAAUAUAUAAAACAAAUUAUUCUUGAAAUCAAAAAUAAAAAAUUGGGGGGAAAGAGAGAAAGGGAGGGGGCAAAUUAGUGCCAAUCCAACCAGCGCAAGCUACAUUGACGCCUUCCCUUUAUUUCCUCCCUCCCCUUUUCUUCCCUAUCUCCCUCAUCAAUCCCCUUCUUUUCUCUCUCUGAUUUUUUUUCCUUUUUUGUUUUUUUCUUAAUUUGUCGUUUUCUAGAUUUUUAAAAUUUUUAUUUUAAUAUUAAAAAUAAAAAUAUAAGAAAAAACGAGAAAUAAAAACAAAAGAUGAUGUGUCACAUUAACAUUUUUUAUUAGUUAUUUUUUUGUCACAUCACUAAUUUAACUAACAUUUUUAAUUGAGUAUCUAAUUGUUAAUUUUUAAAUUUUAAGCAUGAAAUCGACAAUUUUACUAUAGUUCGGAUAAUAAAUAUGUAAUUAAUCCAUUUAUUUACUACUAUAGAUUUUUUAAAGUGAGAGUAAGAGAGUUGGAGAAAUAUACCUUAAGAUAUCCUUUUAGCAUUCUUAGUGCAUUAUUAUUCGCAGCCAAUUUGAAGCAAUUAACACCAUAAAACCAUGUCACCCAUGAUGGAUUAUGUGGAUUUGUCAGAUUUGGAACUCUUUGCAAUGAAGUGCAACCAUCUAGCAUUAGGCCUUGUACACUUGAUGGAAGCUGAGGCAAUGUUUCAAGCUUACUACAACCCAUCAAUUGGAGACAAUAAAGCUUGGUAAGUUGACUAAGAUUCGCAGGUAGGCUGACGAAAUUGUUAUGAUUAAGAAUCAGUUCUUCUAAUGAGGAUAAGCAACAUAUAUCACCAGGAAGAUCCCCUUCACAAAGAUUCAUGCCGCUUAUAUUCAACUCUCUUAAAGAACUCAAGCUUGAUAAACAAGGUAACGUCAGAGCCAUGAAAUUCGAACCUUUUUUUAAAAGCAUGGGAUUCAAACUUGAUAGUAGUACUUCGCAUCCCUUUUUAUAUAUCCUCUGUAGGAAGGAUGGUGGUGAAUUUUCAAGUACAGAGCAGCCCGAGAGAUUAAGAAC
rnacentral:lncRNA from 1 species